UCUCUCUCUCUCUCUCUCUCUCUCUCUCUCUCUCUCUCUCUCUCUCUCUCUCUCUCAUUUAAAACCCAUCAGCCAGCCAUGGUUUCCCACUUUUCCCAAUGUGGUUGCGGAGGAGGUGGAGGAGGAGAGAAAAGAGAUUGAAGAGAUUAAGGAGGGAGGGAGGGAGGGUGUUAAAUGGAAUUUUCAGUUCAAAAAUAUGUCCAGUCAGCAACUUAACCACUUAUUUGGACGGCCACUUAACGGAUGGACCUAAUUGUGUGAUAUUGGAUAGUUAAUGGAGUAAUCGAUUGAAAUUGAAAGUUAAUGGAGUAAACUGUCGAGCGCAUAAAAGUUAAUAGAGUGAUCAGUAAUUAAUUCUUUAUUUAAACUUUUUGGGAGGUGUUGUGAUUGUGGGGAGCACGGUGGCUCUAGGAGUAUAAGGUUGGGGGAGCGCAGUGGCUCUAGGAGUAUAAGGUUGGACUUUGAUUUUUUAGAGUGUUUGCAUGUGUCUUUAGAAAGGGUUAUCCAUUUUCAAAGGAGGUUAUGCUGAAUUUUCGGUAGCAUCUCCUUUGGAGGUGAUCCCCGCAGGGUUCAUUUCGGAUUUCAAGGUAAAAUCCGAGGUGGGUUUUGAAAUGGAUGACGACGAAUUCGGUAGUAGCAUGACUGGAUAAAGACGACUGCAGUAGAAGAAUUAUUAUGUAUUGACUAAAAAAGAAGAAUUAUUAUGUGCUACUUUGUUCUGAUAUGUGCUUGGUGUAAUGGAAUAACUUGUGCUACUAUGUUAUGAUGGUGUGGUUGUUGUAAUCAAAUCACUUGUACGUGCUGCUAUGUUUUUAUAUGAGUUGUUGAAAGAAAGUUAACCCCAUGUUACUACUUCUACUGCAAUUAACUGCUACUACUUUUAUUGGAAUUAACUAUUAUUACGAAGUUAUUGAAAACCUGCUACUGUAUUGCAUUUAUUGCAUUUACUGAAAAUCGUAAAAGGGAAAUUUUCUCUUGUAAAAACAUAUUUAAUUAGUGUAAGGUUAGUUUGGUAAAUUAAACCAUGACACAUGGCAGACAAAAAAGAAUUUGUCUUUAUUUUGUUAAAAAAAUGUCCUUAUUUGUUUAAAAAUUAAAAGUAAUGUAGAUAGAUGUAUUUAUGUUUCAUAUCUUUUUAAAGGGGGUAUAUGUGAUUUGCUAAAUUUAUUACUAGUGACAUCUCUUAUGAUUGUAAUAUUAGAUUUUAUUAUAUAAAGUUUACUUUUUAUAAGAAAUGUACGAUAUUUGAACUUUUGAAACAUCGUUAAUUCGUUAAUUCGUUAUUUCCAAUUUGCGGUGGUUCUUGUUGAGAUAUAAAUCUCACAUCGGGAAAAUGAGACUUUGUCUGUAGUUUAUAAGGGUUUGGGUCACUUCAUCUAUUACCAAUUGGUUUUGGAUGUAAACCUUAGACUACUUUAUUAUGGUAUCAGAGCGGGUUACCCACGUCCACGUGUAAAUGUGUAACGGCCACAUGAACUCCAUAUCAUCCUAAUGGUUGUCCAUGUGUUAGGUUUGAAAAAUUGCCACACGUGCGGGGGCAUCUUGAGAUAUAAUCCCACAUCAGGAAAAUGAGACCUUGUAUAUGGUUUAUAAGAGUUUGGGUCACUCCACCUAUUACCAAUUGGUUUUUCAAUUGUUACAUCCCGACUCUUAAAUUUUUACCUUAUUUACUAGCUUAGUAUUAAUAAGAAUUAUACCGUCUUCGUCAAUGAGUUUAUAGUUUAAUUAGUCCCUAGAGGGGUUUUUGGGGAAGUUUAUUUCGGUGGAAUUGUUCGUAAGAGAAAAAUGUGACGACGGUAAAAAUGGUAAAUUUUAGCUAAUAAAAGGUAAUUUUUAUUGAGGUUUUAUUUUGGGGUGUUAUUUGUGGAGUUGGGUUUUAUUGUGGUGGUAUUGGACUGGUUGGAAAAACCCACGUCACUCUCCCCUCACUUCUCUCUCUUCUCUCCCGAUUUCCCUCCCUCGAGUACUCUCCCCUACCGGAACUUCAAGCCGUCCGUCCGCCGCCAUCCGGCCACCGUUCGCCGCCGCACCGGUCCCAAAUGGUCGGCCGUCAACCCAGCUUCCUUCCUAGAUCGAUGAGAGGCUCCCUAGCGCCGCCGUGAGAGAGAUAUCGGGCCCGAAAGGUCUGACUGCCCAAAGCUCUCUGUCGCCGGAACUUCCUUCUCCGGCCACCAAUCCGGGCAAGCCUUAUAUGGUUUUAAAGGUCUCCAACCCAGUUGCCUUACCCUAGAAGGACUCGGUCCAGUUUGCUUCAGGUGAGGAGAACCGGUCAGUUAGGGUUUUUUGCUUCAGGUGGAAGUUCUAAGGUUUUUUGUAAUGUUUUCGUUCGAUUGGCAUAGUUAGGCUUGGAAUUGGUAUUUGUGCUAGUUAGGAAAGUUGUAGAAGGGGUUGAGAGGAAGAUGCUGUCAAAAUUUGGUAGGCAUUGGAGGUCGCCGGAGUCGGCCUCCGGCCGUCGCUGUUUAGGGGAUUUUUCAUGGUUUUAAGUUGGUUAUAUUAAGGGGAGUUAUUGAUGAGAAUUUUGGAAUUUUUGGAGGAAUUUUGGAUAGGUUUGGGAAUUUUUAAAGUUUGGUAAUUUUUACAGAUUAAUAGGGUAGAAUCCGGCCAUGAGAUUAAUGUUGUGUAGUCUGUGGAAUGGUGUAUUUAAGGCUGCUGGUUUUGGUGUUGAGGUGUGGACCGUAUCGAAUUAGGAUUAUCGAAGUUAGGCCAUGAGCAUGGUUAAGGCUCACGUUUAAUUUUGCCUAUUUUGUGUAAGUAUUGGAUUUUUGGUUGGGAAUUUAAUUAUACAUUUGGAACAGGACGUGAGGAGGCUCGGGCAGAAGAGGCCUCGGAUCGACAUCAGGCUUAGGCCUAUUUUGUGAGUGGACCUUUGUUUUAAUUUAAAAGCAUGUGAUGCAUUAUAUUGUUGAUCAAUUAUUCUUCUGCUAAAAUUGAUUGCUUUCUUUGAUAUUUGGCAAUUUUCAUCUUUUGGAGAGUUACCGAAAAUGAGAUUUUCGGUGGAUAUGUAUAUUGGAUGUUUAUAAGUAUAGUAUGUAUAUAAAUGCUAGCUACCCAUACGUGCUUGGUCCGUCAAAAUAAGGUAAAAUUCUAUUAUGGCGUGACAUGAGUGUUAGACACAAGCGUCAUAGCCCUAUAUGAAAACUAUUUUCUUAUCUGGUUCAUAUAAGGAGUCCACAAGUAUAUACACCCGUCCUCUUCGGUCUUAAUGAGGAAAAAUUUCAUUAUGGUUUGACUUGAGCGUUAGACGCAAGCGUCAUAGCCUUAUAUGAAUUUCUAUUUUUCUAUUUUGUUCAUAGAAUUCGUAGAAGGAGUCUAACAAAUAUAUAUACAGACACAUAUUUUUAUCUAUAGUUUAGCCUAAGAGGCUCUAUUUUAUUGAGUUUUGGAGACUGGCCGGAGCUAGUCAUGUAUUUGCCAGUUUAUGAAUAAAAAGCUUUGAGUUGUCGCAUGCAGCAUAAUUUCUAUGGAAAUUAAAAUGGGAAUGCAUAAUUAUUUUUGUUAAAUUUAUUUUUGUCCACUCACUCUAACUGUUUCAAAUGUUUUCUCCUGAGCCCUUUGUUUUAAAUCGCCCAGUCUACAGAGUGUGGGUUGGAUCUAGUAGGAGGCGAUGCAUAGUCACCUAUUUCUCCACCACUUUUCACCAGUAGGUUACCUGUUAACCUACCAGCACAUUUUCUUGCUUCUUCUGAUUUUAGCAGCUCUGAUUAACUUGAGGAUAAUGUAUUUUAGUUCGGUUGUGUGCUAAGUCUUAGAUUUAAAUUUGAAAUAUUUGAAGGUUGAAGUUUGUUAUCUUAAUUGGAUAUUUAGUUGAUAGAUUUGAAGAUGGUUUUAUUGUUUUUAUGGUGGUGGUUGUUUUGUGGGGAGCGGGUGGCUCCAGGAGUUGAGGUUGGGUUUGUUGUUUUAGGAGUGUUCUUUGAAUUUUUUUUUUCAGGUAGGGUUGUCUAUUUUUAAUGGAGGUUAUGCCAAAAAUUUUGGUAAAUUUUUCUUGGAGGUGAACCCUGCAAGACUUACUUCGGGUUUCAGGGUGAAAUUCAGGGUGGGUCUUGACAACAAUUAGAUAUGAACCCCAGACUACAUUAUCAGUUCUCCUCUCUUGGAUGGUCAACCACUCAACCUAUUCCCAAGUUUUGCACUUCUACUUGGGAUUCAGACUUCAAUUUUGCUGCUCGAUUAAACUAAUGGAUGAACAUAAUUCUGUCGAACUUGAACCGUUCAUGUUUAUAACAGAAAAACGCAGUUUUGAGUGCCUUAAUGAUAACAAAAUUGGCUGAAAUUUUGCAGAGAUAAUCUAUACAUUAGUAUCUAAAUACUAUACAGUGGAGAUGUGAAAAUUCGAUUGAAAAAUGAGUGUAAAGUGAAUCCGCACCGUAAGAAAUGCAGACGUCUGCAGCUGAGAAGCUAUAUAUAUAUAUAUAUACACACACACACAUAUAUAUAUAUAUGUAUAUAGGAUUUUGCUCAGCUGCGGACGUCCGCACCAAUGGUUUUGGUGCGGAUUUUCAUUUUUGCACCACUUUUCGAUCGAAUUUCCUCAUCUCCACCGUCUAGUAUCUAGAUAAUAUUGUAUAGAUCAUCUCUGUAAAAUUUCAGCCAAUUUGGUAAUCGUUAAGGCCCUCAAACUCGAAAAAUAAAUGGACGGACUGCAUUCUGUCAAACAUGAACCGUUCAUGUUUAUAACAGAAAUACGCAAUUUUGAGGGCCUUAACAUCAUCAAAUUGGCUGAAAUUUUGUAGAGAUGAUCUACACAAUAUUAUUUAGAUACUAGACGGUGGAUAUGAGGAAAUUCAAUCGAAAAGUGGUGCAAAAAUGAAAAUCCACACCAAAACCAUUGGUGCGGACGUCCGCAGCUGAGAAGGGCUGUGUGUGUGUGUACAUAUAUAUAUUGUUUUUCUUUUCGUAUUAGAUUAGAUAUCAUUGUCCAAAUUGGAUUAGAUGUUUACUCUAAAUAGAUCAUUAUAAAAGCACACUCUAGGAUUAUAUUGUUUUUCUUUUCGUAUUAGAUUAGAUAUCAUUGUCCAAAUUGAAUUAGAUGUUCACUCUAUAUAGAUCAAGGAGUACAGCCCCUCUAUAAAAGCACUCUUUAGGAUUUAGGGUAGUUUAUUAAGUUCAACUAUUCCAGUGCACGUUAAAAUUAGAUAGAUAGUUCAACUAUUCAUGGCAUCACUAGAUCCAAACAUGGAUUUGUCUGCGGAAGAUCUGGCGCUGAAGGAAAAACUGGAGUUGUAUGUGAAGAGGGUUCAAGACCCUGAUCCUGGGAUUCAGAUGAUAGCUCUCGAGGGUAUGAGGCACGAAAUCCGUUCCUCAACAAGUUCAAUGACUGCUGUUCCAAAGCCGUUGAAGUAUCUUCGACCACAUUACACAGCUCUGAAAUCAUAUUACGAAUUAAUGGGAGCUUCAGAUGUGAAGAUAAACCUGGCAGAUAUACUAUCUGUUUUGGCACUGACCAUGUCUGCCGAGGGAGAGCCGGAAAGCUUGAAGUACAGAUUGUUGGCUGGUUCAGACGGUGACAUUGGUUCAUGGGGACAUGAAUAUGUGAGGAACUUAGCAGCAGAAAUUACUCUAGAAUAUGCCGAUAAUGAGCUGCGUGUUCAUAUGAGUGAUGAAAACCCUAGUUGUGACCAAAUGAAACUAGUACGUCAGAUUGUUGCUUUUCAUAUGAGGCACAAUGCUGAAACUGAAGCGGUUGACCUGUUGGUUGAGAUCGGAGAUCACCUUCAACAGUUGCUUGAGCAUGUUGCUAAGACGAAUUUCAAGAAGACUAGUUUAUAUCUCACCAGUUCAGCAAGAUACCUUCCUGCCAGACCGGACGACGCGUACUUAGCUUUGGAUGUUGCAUACAAGUUAUAUCUAAAAUUUCGAGAGUAUCCCAAUGCACUUCAGAUUGCGCUUCUCAUUGAUGACCACCGGUUGAUUAAGGAAGUGUUUACAUCUUGCGAUGAUGUGCUGUGUAAGAAACAACUUUGCUACAUCCUUGCUCGGCAUGGUGGUAAUUACUCUGUGCUUGAUGAUGAUGAUGAUGAUGAUGCUAACAUGGAUGGGGAUAGCGAUAAUAACCGAGAGGCAAUGCAGGACAUUAUCAAUAACACUAGGCUCAGCGAAGGUUAUCUUACCCUCGCUAGAGAUCUUGAGGUCAUGGAGGCCAAAACUCCACAGGACAUAUACAAGGCACACUUGCUUGAUGGUCAAGUAAGUAGCAGUGUUGGUUCAGCCAGACAGAACUUGGCAGAUACAUUUGUUAAUGCAUUCGUAAAUGCAGGGUUCGGUCAGGAUGAGUUGAUGACGACAGUGCAACCACCAAAUGAUCAUUGGCUUUUCAAGAAUAAGGAGCAUGGAAAGAUCAGCGCUGCUGCAAGUUUGGGUAUGAUUUCACUGUGGGAUGUUGAGUCAGGAUUUGCUCACAUUGACAAGUACCUGCAUAGUAACGACAACCAUGUUAUCGCUGGUGCGUUGUUAGGCAUUGGAAUUUUCAACUGUGGUGUCAGACAUGAAUGUGAUCCGGCGCUGGCGGUUUUGGGGGAAUAUGUAGAUAAAGAAGAUCCAUCUAUCCGCAUUGGUGCAAUAAUGGGAUUAGGGAUUGCAUAUGCUGGUUCUCAGAAUGAGCAGAUAGGUAGUCAGCUGACUCCUAUACUUCAUGACGCAAAAGCUCCACUUGAUGUGGUCACAUUCACUGCAAUCUCAUUAGGGUUGAUAUUCAUUGGUUCAUGCAAUGAAGAGGUAGCUCAAGCCAUCAUACUUGCGCUAAUGGAUCGAACUGACGCAGAGUUGGGAGAUCCCCUUGCUCGCCUAAUUUCGGUUAGCCUUGGUCUCGUGUUCCUUGGAAUGCAAGACAAUGUUGAAGCCACAGCUCAAGUUUCACAGACAUUUAAUGAAAAAAUCGGAAGACAUUGUGAUACGACUUUGCUUUCUUGUGCUUAUGCCGGAACAGGAGAUGUUCUCAAGGUUCAAACCCUUCUCGGCCAUUGUUCGCAACAUAUUGAGGAGAAGGAUGAGGAUCACCACGGACCUGCUGUGCUUGGAAUUGCUAUGAUAGCAAUGGCUGAAGAAUUGGGACUUGAAAUGGCAAUUCGUUCGUUAGAGCAUCUUCUACAGUAUGGACAACAAAACAUCCGUAAGGCUGUUCCAUUGGCGCUUGGUCUUCUUUGCAUGUCACACCCAAAGGUCAAUGUUAUGGACACAUUAAGCAGACUUAGCCAUGAUACAGAUUCAGAAGUAGCAAUGUCUGCGGUGGUCUCCUUAGGUUUGAUAGGUGCAGGAACCAACAAUGCCAGAAUAGCCACCAUGCUGCGCAAUCUUUCGAGUUAUUACUACAAAAGUGCUGACCUUCUCUUCUGCGUGCGUAUUGCUCAAGGCCUUGUACAUCUGGGAAAGGGUUUAUCAACUCUAAAUCCAUACCAUUCCGACCGUUUCUUGCUAUCACCAGCAGCACUUGGUGGAAUCAUGGUCAUGCUGCAUUCAUGCCUUGAUAUGAAAUCCAUUAUUUUGGGCAAGUAUCAUUAUGUUCUCUACUUCCUUGUCAUGGCGGUGCAGCCAAGAAUGUUGAUGACUGUGGACGAGAAUCUCAAACCCUUGUCUGUCCCUGUUCGAGUGGGAAAAGCUGUGGAUGUUGUAGGGCAGGCUGGCCAUCCAAAAACAAUAACUGGUUUCCAAACCCACUCGACACCAGUUGUUCUGGCUGCCGGUGAGAAAGCCGAGUUGGUGAGUCGGAAAUAUAUUCCCCUUUCUCCCUUCCUUGAAGGUUUUGUCAUUUUGAGAGAAAAUCUGGACUACAAGGAAGACUAGUGUUGUCAAGGAUGACACCAGAGACCUACUUCUGAUAUUGGUGUUUUUCUUUCCUUCGUAUUUUUUGUUUGUUUGUUUAAAUUCUACAUAAAAGAAUGGUGCUAUUGUAAUCAGUUAGUUGAACACAAACAAGUAGUCUUGUAUCUGCUCUUUGUAAGUAUAGCUUAAAACUAAUUACUUAUUUACAUAGUUGACCACUGUGUCUAUCCGAGUUGUAUCACAGAGUGCUUAACCGGCACUUGCUCCUUCUCAAGGGUUUCCAAGGAUUUAUCUUUUCAAGUAGUGUUACAAUUGUUCAGUCAGAAAAAUGACAAGUACAAAAUUUAUUCAACAGAACUCAAAUUACUUACAAAGGUUGGUUGUAACAGCAAUUUGUUGGUACUCUAGAACGAUGAUACCUUAUAACAGUGAAAAUGUCAAACAAAUUACUGUUGAUGAUGUGGAGUGAUUUAUAGUACCAAGAUGAGCAUUCCAAGAAGAGCAGCAAAUCGUAACAUGAGGGGAAAAAAAUAUCGAGUUCUCAACUACUUGAAUAGAAAUCAGCUCAAAAUUAUAAAAAUUCUCAGUGAGUCUAUCUCUACAAGACAUAUUUCAUACAUAUCGCAGAUUACAUGAUUACUUCAGCCCGAUCAGCAAGACAUCAAAUUUGUGCUGACCAGAGCUGAAGCACAGCGAUAUGUUGAACCACUUAAUGGAGCUCAGACUUCCUGCUCAUCAAGAAGAUUCUAUUUCCAUUUGCGUGUCCUUCGCUGUAGAUUGAUUCUGCCAAAAAAAAAACCUCAGAAUAAGCAUGUAAUACAGCUAUAAAUUUUACUCCCUGAAGUGGGAGUGCAGCAGAUUUUUGCCUCAGUCAAUACUGUACAACCAUAUAUUUGCAUUUAUGAUCCAAAUAGAUUAUUUUGGUAUCUAUAAAACAUUAAUGUACCUUUGACUUCAUAAUUAUUUGACUGUCAGAGAAGUAUUGAUUUGGAUGGUUAAUCCCAGCUUCGCAUGAUGUCCCAUGGACAGCUUCAAACGUUAAGGUGCAUGCCAACUGAUACAUACAUCACCAAGUAGUCCACACAUUUCAGUAUCAUGCUAGAACAAAAACAAAAUAACUUCUUAUAAAAUUUACGCAUCUGGUAACAUUUAGCACCUGAUAAUGCUUAUUCCGAACUUUGUUCAUUACAUCACUAAGAGCACGACUGUUAACUCCCAUUCUACUGAGAGCAGCUGUCAGAUUCUCUUCACUGUCACAGGAAAAAUAUUGUCAAUACAUAUAAUUUUAAAAACUUAUCACUCUAGUAACUCCAAAAUAGAAGUGGCCAGUACUAGUGAGCAAGUACUGUGUUCUCAAGGAGGAGUUGGAAUAACUGACAGGAGAGAAGGAAAUCCAAAGAAAAUCGUUAAAGGAGGAAAAUUAUUUGGCACUAUACUGGUACUGUGAUGUUAGAUGGUCUUUGUAGCAAUGUGACUAUCAAAUAAUAUUUUUGCUGCAAUAGUUCUAUCCGAUCCAAGAUAACCAGUAAUGUCCAGUAAUGUCGUAUAUAUGUCAAGUUUAGAGGUCAUUUCUUUAUGACUUUUAACUCACGGCCUGUUUUAGUCUUUUUAAACAGCAUCCUGAAAUUAAAUUGUAUCAUAGAAAGUACCUGAAAUGUCGAUAUGGGCAUCCAUGAUGAUCUCCUACGCCAGGCGUAGAUGAGAUGAUCUUUUGACAGGAAUAAGGCGUGUAAUCCUGUAAUAUUCCAAAAGAAACAUAUUUGAUGGUGAUCAUAACACACGGAACCAUAUGUUACAAGGUCUGAAAACAGUAAUAACAACUGAAAGUUCGGUACAUCUACGAAUAACCGGAACGACAAACUGUAAUUAUGUUGAAAUUUCCAUAUAUAGUCAACAAAUUCUAAGUAUCCUAUAUAGAGUCAUAUAGCAUCAGUAGACUCUUGACAAUAGCAAGAUUGAUGUCAUACCGUUCUUUUUCCUUCUCUUCCAUAAUUGUGGCGUAUGCUAUAUGCAUAUUCUUUGUCAAACCUCUCGGCACCAACCUAUUGCAAGAUUAAGUAACAGGCAUCAAAUCAGAAAGUAUGAAAAUUGCAAAGACCAGAUAAGUUGUACCAAAGCAUUAAACUUGUAUAUUUUGCAAAUUGAAAUGCAUGGCGGGUAACAUGCUUUAUCAAAUAAUAGUUGAAAUUUUGUGCCAUUAUGGUGAUGAAGAAUUAGUAGAUGAAAUGCUCUAAGAACACUAAGGUCACCUUUCGUGAGAACUCAGCUCUCCAAAAUGCAAGUGCAUCAUCCAGCUUUAACCCAACACCCUGCACAUGGGAGGUUGAGUAAAACCACAUGUCAACAGUUAACUAAUUGAGAAACAUGGGGUUACAAUGACAGAUUCAUGAUUAUUAUGAAUACUUAGUGUGGUGCUUGUAAAAUGUCGACUGAUAGUUUCAGGCAUAGUUAUCUGUGCAUUAACCAAAAUCACCAUCAACUUGACGCAACUCACAUACACAAUGAGCCUGUCCCAUUUUAGAUACUAACAGCUAUUAUCUUCAUUCUAUGUACAGAGAGAUUAGACUGCCAAAGUAGUCCAGGAAGUACAUAAUAAGUGUUGUGGGCGACCACGAGUCCAAGAAGAACAAUAUGUAUAGAUUCCCAAUUGACCAGAAGUGCAAAAAUAGAAUAAAGGAUUUCAACUACAUGCCUUUAAUUGAAAUGGCAUUCAUGCAAACACAGGAAGCAGACCACAAUUCUCAUCAUCUUAUUCCAAUUCUAUUAUGUACACACUUAAACACAGGACGUAAUAGGAUUCAUGGAUUACAUACCUUGAGAAAGAGACCCAGUUGCAUUCUCCCUCCAUGCUUUAGGUGAUGGUCCUCUCUCAGCUGCAAAGAAAUAGCAUAUCUAAAAAUUAAAAUAAAAUAAAAGGGUCAUAUAAGAGCAUCAUGAGAAAAGAAGCAGAUAAUAAAGAGAUGGGUUAAUCAAUCAUCUUUCUGUGUUCCGUCUUUUGAUUAUCUACAAGAUGCAGAUAAUCAGAAGAGGGAAGAACCGACCAGAAAUACACAGAAAGCUGAAUGAAUGGCCAAUUCUUUACCUUUUCAAAUAGAUGGCGCAUGCACAUAGGAAACGAGCUCUUAGCUAUGUCAUCAAUGUCUCUUAAUGAUAUCUCAGCAAAUUCUUUUGGCUACAAAGACAAUCAAAACUCCUAAAUUAACUUCAACCUAAACAAAGUUGGACCUACGGGUAAUAGACCAAGAUAACACAAGGUGAUGAACUACCUGAGAAUAGUCCGGGCCCAGGUAGCUUGUUGAGAGGGCUUCAACUAUCUAAACAGGAAUGAAAGAACAAUAGAGAGAAUGUCAAAGACCAAACCAAAAUAAAUGCUGCUUUGACAUACAAGGUUUGGAAUCCAGAACUCACAGGAGUCAACCGAUUUUUCUCUUGUUCUACGAUAGUUGAUGUCCACUUUCUGCAAACAGAAAGUUUAACUUCAGAUAAUUACAAAACUUCAAAACCUGAUAACUUAGCUUUUGUUCUUUUUGUCUGUCACUUUAUCUUGAAAGUACAAAAUCAAAAAUUUAUGCAUGUAAAUAACUAUCAGGCAUAACCAGUAAGUUAUUAAACAUUCAAACAAUAAGAGGAUAUAUGCUUUGUGAAUUUAAAUAGCCAACAUCACCUGUUAGUCAAAAUCAAUGCCUUUGACAGAUGACUGCGGAAAUGUGUGGCAACAAGGGAGACCACCUAUAGUUGCGGGAGGGGGAGGGGAAGACAAUAAAGGAAAAUGAUUAUUAUCCUCACUCUAGGGGUUAAGUGCAAGAUUUAAAAGGAAGCAUUAACUAUAACCUGACUCAUGGCUAUAUAUGCAUUCCCCUUGCUGAUGUAUACUCUACGGCUAGCGACAAGUUCGGGAACUUCUUCAAAUGGUACCUUCAUGAGGGGUGGGGAAUAAGACAUCAGAUGAGAUACGGUUCUUAAUUUGAUGACUAAAAGAGAAGGGAGGUAAUAUUAAACAUUCCAAACUAUAUAUUAAGACAACUCUAAAUAUCAUUAUUAUCAAACAUCUACUCUCGUGGCUAACAUAGAAAGGGCUUGAAGCCCAAAGCCAGAUAGACUUCAACAAUUACUCCAAUAAUUUCUUUGUCUUUAAUAUUUGAUGAUAUCCACAAAUUGAUACAUAGAAAAAAUACAAUAGAAAAUCAGACUAUAUUCUUGAGGACCACCAUGGACUAACAAGAACGUCUGAAAUGGUUUGUGGAUACCCAACAUACAAAAAAGUUGGAGGUAUCCCACAUUCCCACUAAAACAAGACCAGUUCUCAUGAUUCAUGAAUAAAAAGCUUAAAGAAUAAGUUUACAGAAUAGAAAACAAGUAAAGAUGAACACACCUUGUAAAAUAUGGCAUCAACUGCAAAAGAAGGAAAAUAAGUCAAAGGAAACAAGUUAGAAUGUAGACUGUAAUAACAGAAAAUGUAUAUUAUCAUUUUAGAAAUAUUUUUCAGAGAAAUAAUGUGGAUAUCCUUAAAACAAGUAGAUGAGCAUGAUAACGCAAGACCUAAGAAAUACCAGACACCUCACUACUGCACAUACCCAAUAUGAAAAAAAAAUUUGCCUCCAAUUAUCAUUGCCAUGAUUCACAAUAUAGCAGAGACUUAUUCUUAACUUAAAAGAAUUGUGAAGACCAUAAAUACUGGACUUAUUGAGAUACGGUAUGUGGCCAAUCAAGUGAACAGAAACUCUUCCCCUACCAGUGGGUAAAGAUUGACUCGUGGAACGCGCAACCUGGGCCAGUUUGUCCAUUACACUCUGAAGAGGAAGAUAAAAACUUUAGUGAUUGCAGCAUAUACUAAGGUGCUAAAGAUUUUAGGAAGUAUCUGACUGUAAUACAUCUCAAAAGGUUCCAAAGUCCAAUACAAUGCAGGUUUCUGUAUGUCAAGCUCAUAGUACUACAAAUUAAUCAGAGUUAUCAGUUAUGUAACUACCUCGAGUUCUGAACUAUCAACUUUCUUGUAGGCAAGACCAAAUUCUGCCAUGAGUGACCUCUGUAGACCCAAAAUAACAAGUUUAAAACUGAAAUCAGGAGAAACUGAGAAGCAAAAUGAGAAACCAUUUCAAAAGAACUUUGCCCAUUACCUGAGCUUCAGGCCUUUCAUUGCGAAAACGGUGGCGAAAUAGGGCAGUCUCCAUGGAAAGAAACCAUUUCCUCAGUUCGUCCCUAAAAUGCAGAUCAAUAAAGUAACAAUUACAAAAUCAGAUUGAAACCAAGAAUCGUUACGACUAACAUGCUACAACAAAAAGGCAAUGAUAAUGUCUUACGUUCUGCAAUAAACAAGACGCAGAACAAAGUGCGAUAUAAUGUCCUUGUUGAUGGCCUCGGAUGCCUGAGGAUGCCUCAUGUUUGCUUUCCAAAGAUCAUUUAUCAAUUUCUCCAUUUCAUCAUGUUUCUUUCCUCUCGAUAAUCCGUCAGAUAUCCCUUUAAGCACUGCAAAACCCAAUAAUUUACCAUCAACUAAAGCCUUACUUCCAAUUAGCAACAAAAAUUCUAUCCAUUCAAUUUCAAACUAUAGAAUUCUAUAAAUUCAAUUCAAAUCAAACCACUCGAAAAGAGCGAAUCCAAAUCAACCAGAACUAAUUGGAGUGAAGACCCAAUGGAAUUGAAGUAAGAAGUUAGGGUUUACCUCGGAGGCGAUCGAUGGCGAAAAGCUCGAACUCUUCGAGGCGGACAUCGAGAGCCGGGGCGGAGCGGUAGAGGGGGAGAGUCGGGACGUCGUCGUAUCCGACGGGUUUCCUGGAUCGGACGGCUAACAUUUUGUGGCAAUUGGUUUCUGAAUCGUCGGCCGGAGAAAGCUUUGAUCUGGUUUCUUUCAGUUGCUAAAAGUAUCAAUUACAAUUGUGGAUGAGCGGCGCUUGGCAUUGCUCUCUAUCAGUUGGGGGACCCACUGCGUCAUUUCUUUAUUUAUAUUUGCGCGCCAAAACGGAAAAAAAUGGCGGGAAACGUUCUGCCCGCCGCGAGUUUAUGUGUCAGUGACAGAAAUGUUCAGAAGUUGAGGGGCCAAAGUUUUAUAAGCUCAAAGUUUAGGGACUAACCCCCGAUUUCACUAAACUGGAAGACCCAAAAACUAUAAUGCGAUCCAUUAACGGACGCAUUCUUUCUCAGAGACCCCAGUUUUUGCAGCUCCAGCUGACCAAGUGAGUUUCUCUUCAAUUCCAUCAAUUUACGGCUUCCGAUCUACGUCAAUUUUCUGCUCUCUGUUUGCAAAUCUCAUCUAAUUUUUCCGACGAUUUAAUGAUAAAAUCUUGCUCCCUUUUAUCCACCAGUUUAGAUUAGAUUUCUUUAAUGGUGAAUGGAUUAUCUGCAUUUGAUCUGAUACAUACACAUUCCAGAAUAUGAUCUUUUCUAGAACCUAAAUGAUCUUGGUAUUCGUCAGCAUGAGAAUGGUUCAGUAUAAGGCUCAGAUUUAAUUUUUUUUUUUUUGUGAGAUAUAUGAUGUCAUAAGCUCUGCUCUGAAUCUUGUUGGUUACAUUUUGGAUCUUUACUUGUACUACUUUAGGUGAUUUCCUUGAUUUAUUUUUAUAGGAAGCGAAUUGGAUAUGUUGAGUCUGACUGUGUUUUGAUUCAGUUACUUACCUUGUAGGGAACGUAAAGUUUCAAUUCACUGAUGGAUCCGAUAGAUGACUCCCUUAGGAAACAAUUAUCUGCUUUGUUGAGAGUUAUACAUGUGACGAGGUGUUGUAAAGAAGACAAAGUUCCAUGCCAAAUUGAAGAGGUUUAUUUGAAAUCUCAAUCAGUUUUUGUAGUAUUAACUUUACAUAGUUUCUAUUGCUCUAUAUUCAACAGCAAGGGUCAUUUCUUUUAUUAUUUAUCUGUCGCAGGGUCUCUUCUUGGGUUCCAUAGGAUCUGCACAUAACAAGGAUGAACUUAAAGAGUUAAACAUCACACACAUUUUGACUGUGGCUGGUUCAUUGGCACCUGCUUAUCCAAAUGAAUUUGUGUAUAAGGUUUUGCAUGGUAAUAACUUUAAUUUUCUCCUCUUUUCAUUCAAUGUCUAUUGCUCUACAUGUCUUCUAGGUUUCUGAACUACAAGCUGCAUUGUGAGAUAAUUUGUUUUUAUUUAUUGUCUUGAAGUUUCUUGUUUCAUUUACUCAUUCUACUAUGAUCUAACCUUUUGUUUUGUAUAGUUGUGAUAAUUGCUUAGCUUUUUUAUUAUUAUGUACCUGCCUCAGCUUAAUCAAACAACUAUUGCCCUAACAGCAUCUCAUCCAUAUCAUAGUUAUUGCUCCGAACCAAGAUUGUGGAACUGAUUUGAAUUUUUUGUUUGGCGCUCUUUCAAACUUGAGGUAGUUGCGGACAAAGAAUCGACAGACCUGAAACAGCACUUUGAUGAAUGUUUCAAUUUUAUUGAAGAAGCUAAAAGAUCUGGUGGUGUGUUGGUUCAUUGCUUUGUGGGAAAAUCCAGGAGGUAAUUAUCUCUCCCUGCCUGAACCAUUUUUUCCAGAUUAUCUAUCGCUAUGAUUGUCAAGCAUUAUCCUAUUCCAUAAGAGCGAAUCCUUGAAAUAUGAUUAUACAUGAUCUCCACAAUAACUAGCCUUAAGUAUUUCUAAUUCUUAUGAAUUCUUAGAAUAGAGGAUCAGUAAACUCAUUGUGAUAGAAAACAGAACAAGUAUGCAGUUUAAAUUGCUGGUUUUAACUUUUACGCAAUCUUUUGAUAUUUCUAUUUGCGAUAAUAAAACAGAACAAUUUUAGUACAUUGAGUUUCUGAGUUUAACUUUACCUAACCUUGAUCAAGGUCACAAGUCUGGUAGUUUUACCUUAUUUGGUUGAACAUGGAUCAGAGUUGAGCUGUACCCAACGCUCGUUAACUUUUGAGUGAAAACACGUCGAUUGUUUAUUACUUCAUAUAAUUGGAACUUGGGCACUACUACAAUGUAUGACUUUUAUGAGCUGGAGUUGGACUUAACUAUUAUUUGACCUUGCAGUGUGACUAUUGUUCUUGCUUAUCUGAUGAAGAAGCAUGGUAUGAGUCUAUCUGAAGCUCUUGAACAUGUGAAGAGCAGACGGCCACAGGCAUCUCCCAAUACUGGUUUUAUGUCACAACUGCAGGCCUUUGAAAGGUUCCUUCAUGGUGCGUUGUUACCAUUACUCUUUUUAACCAAUAGGUGUAUACUAUUACCUAAACUAGCUGGAGUUGUAUGCCUACUCUUUUAUUCCAUGAAACAUAUGCAUUCUCCUGUGCCAAACUCUUUUUAACCAAUAGGUGUGUUAUGAAGAAACCUUGUGGGUUAAAAUGUUUUUCAUCUAAUGUAGCCUGUCCAGUGUAGAAUAAUGCUUAUAUUAGUAGAUUCUGUUAUAUGAUGUCAUGUAAGUCGGGCCAUGAAAUAAUAACUGAUCUAGAGAAUAACAUUUCCAGGUAGAAUUAAUAAAAGGUUCAGCUAGUGCAAGUGAGGCAAGCUAUCCUAUCUUUGUCUCGUGUGAAAUAUUCUGCAGUUUUCUGACUACAGAAUUCAUUGUUAUCACCUGAGCUGCAUGGUGUCAUUACUUACUUGUUUUUCUUUGUUUACAUUUUGCAAUGAAUUUUGUUCUAAUUGUGUUUUCCACAAUUUUCUUUCUACUUCAGAAAAUGAAGAAAACAAGACAAAUUGAAGGACUUCAACUAUAUGAGGAAAGACUAUACCUUGAAGCACAUAGUCAGUUUACAGUAGUUACCUUGACGAAACUUUUUGUGUUAGAAUUUCUAUAGUUUAUCAAAUAUGAAAAGAAUGAACAGCCCUGUUCUGGUGAUUAAAAAGUAGAUUGUGAAUAACUAGGAUAUAGUUUAUAGUUUGAUAAACUAGCCAUGUGAAGAUGAUAUUAUACACAAUGAAGCAAGAAGGGUGAAAAUCAGUCUGCAUUUACUAUGAACAACAGUGUAUGGAUCUUGUGGGUAUACUUAAUAUGGAGCAACUGAGGCUUCUGGUAUUCGUUACAUGAAUCUGGUUUCUGUUAGUAGUGCUUGAAGUUGAAGGAAUCUAUAUAUUUUGGGAUGGAUGUCGAUCCUCGGAACAUUUUCAUUUUUGUAGACAUUUACAAUGAACCUUGAAACUCCUACAACUUUCUACUGCAACUUCUGCACAAACUUAACAAGAGUAGUUAGCAAGCUGUAACGGCUUGCACUGUGUUUCCUUCUCUCUCAUUCUUUACUGUAUAAUAGUUUUGGGCGUGACCCCUUUUAUGUAUGCCCUAGAGUAUUAAUAUCACCAGAAUGUCAUACCAGUUCAGUGAUGUUGAUGGAUAUUCCCUGUGUCUCUUUAUGUCUCGAGGUCCUAGGGGGUCUUACCCGCCCAACCAUUUUGUUUUCUUCCUACAGUAGUAAAGGCCUAAAGGGAAAGAGAAUGCUAGUAACCUAAAGGCCCAAUGUGGUCUAAUCGUUGGUUACCCUCUUAACCGAUCAUUCUACUUCCCACUAAUUGUUCUUGGCUACUGCAUGCCCCAAUAUCGUUCAAUACUCUUAACGGGGUCAUCUUUACACAAACAAUCAACUAAACCCAAACAAGUAUUUCAUUCACUUACUAUCGAGAGUAAGGUAGAAAGCCACAUUGGUUACAUUAGCAAGUUAAUAACACACCUUUCAAGUCAAUAUUUGCACCGAUGUGUACGAGAGUAUCUUAACAAAGCAAUCACUUUUAUAUACCACAUUGAUCUCCAAUCCAAUAAACUGUGUAGACACUAAAAUAACAACAAUAGGAGUCAAAUGAAAAUCCGAAGAUGAUCAUUCCAUGAAAUGAGAUCUGAUGUAGGACAAGAUUGGACCAAAUUUAGACAGGAAAAAAAAAUCAAAAAGCGGCGAAUAAUCAAGAAGAAUGAUCUAAAUAUCAGUAAUUCUCGUGUCAAGAGGUUGCUAAACGCUGGAAUAUUCAAGAUGUUAUUUUGGACUUUCCGGGUUGCUCGUGCGAAAUCUGAUUUUCAGAAGCAAAUCUGACCUGAAGUAACUUUUGACCAGAAUGUGAAUAUCUGUUUAGAACGCAUAAUACAUUUCUGGAAUGGAAACGACGAGACUUACAAAACUCACGUACUUUAGUGAGUCUCACUUUAGUGAGUUCUGUCAGAUUUAGGACAAAAGAUAUAUAUCGUUUUAUUAAUCCGAUUCGGCAUUUAGUAUUAUUUUAGGUUUUUUUUCAGUUUAUUUUGGAUUUUGUUUUCUUUUAACCUAUGGGCUUUUAGGCUUGGUUGUUAGUUGCCCUAAGGUUUAGUUUCUCCUACAUAAGGACCAUUAAUCGGUUGUAGUCAUCAGCUUUUAAAAUUAAUAAACUUUUAAGUUAAUUAUCUCAAAUUCUCUGGUGGAUUCCAAAUUCUCUCGUGGAUUCGAAAAAACCAGACUUGUAGAUUCAAGUCUAUUGUUAGUGGAUUCCAACGUUUAUAUUUACGCUGCAUCAAGAUCACAAAGGGAGUUAAAAGAGAAGAACGUAGAAAUAUCAUAGUUACUAGCAUAUAAUAUGCUCAUUUAAUUAAAGCACAUGAUCAAUCCUAGCUAGCUAGGUAUAUAUAAAGUCGGAAGAUCAACUUGCAGCCCACAACCACCCAAUUUUGCUGUUGUUUUGGUGUCUCUCGCUUCACUCUUAAUGUUUCUGUGGCUAUGGAAAACCUAAAUAUGAUCACUACUUCAUACAAGUUAGUAGUAGAACUAACAACAUGAAGAGGUGAGCAUGCGAUGCAUGAUAUGUAGAGAAGAGAGUAGCGAUAUAUAAAUGUGCAUGGGAAAUGAAAGAUAAGCAUAAGUAACUAGUAGUAGUACUACUCUUACUCUUGCUACUCUUGCUGUAUCGAGCGUCUUCCUUAUGUUUACUGCCCACGGGGGCACGUAGUUGGACCCAAUCUCAUAACUUGAGACGCGUAGUAAUAUAGUCGUCUCUCUCUCUCUCUCUCUCUCUCUCUCAAGAGAAACACACACACACAGAAAUGGAGUAAAAAUAUCUUCACGAGAAUGCGACAUGGAGCAUUUAAUAUGAACACAACAGGUGGUUUCGGCAAGCCGACCCUAAACUCUUUCCUUGUUUCAAUGUAUCUUUUGUAGUAUAAAUAGCAGAGUUUUCGAGUUCAAACAAAGUGGCUGAUGAGAUAGAGAGGAUAAAAGAGCUAGAGAAACAUAGAGACAGAUCGAUAAAGCUUUCAUUUGUUGAACCAGACCAGAAACCAUGUCUCACAUAGCUGUGGAGAGAAACAGAAGGAAACAGAUGAACGAACACCUCAAAGUUCUACGCACUUUAACCCCAUGUUUCUACAUCAAAAGGGUACCCUUAAUUACACUUUGUUUUUGCUGGCUUCAAUCCUACACAAGACCCUUACAAAGAACCGGGAAUUUUUAAGAAAAUAUAUGUUUUUUCUUGUUAAUUACUCUCUUAUCUGUUAGUAUAUAUGAUUCAAACUAAAUCAGUUUGUGUUAAACUUGUUGUUAAUGGCAGGGAGACCAGGCAUCAAUCAUAGGAGGUGUGAUAGAGUUCAUCAAGGAGUUGCAUCAAGUAUUGCAGUCUUUGGAAUCUAAUAAACGCAGGAAGAAGCGCCUAAGCCCUAGCCCUAAUCCAAGCCCGAGGCAGCCACUGCUACUAUUGCCACCUACUCCGCCGCCCCAGCUUGAUCAAAACCCUAAAUUCAAUUUUGGGUUAAUCGAUCAGAAUCAUGACCGUGCGGUCAAAGAACUAGGAGCAUGCUGCAAUUCUCCGGUGGCAGAUGUCGAAGCGAAAAUCUCAGGGUCCAACGUGGUGUUGAAGAUAAUAUCCAGGCGGAUUCCAGGUCAAGUUGUGAAGAUAAUCAGUGUGCUGGAGAGGUCUUCAUUUGAGGUCCUCCAUCUCAACAUCAGUAGCAUGGAAGACACGGUCCUGUACUCUUUUGUGAUCAAGGUACUAAUCUUGCCUUAUACAAUAAACUAACCCUUUUCUUUUAAAGGAAACUAACCUCUAUAUAUAAAUCAUGAAUUAUCAUAAACUAUCCAGGACAAGCUAUAAAAUUAUAUACAGAUACUUGAUGAGUAUUUCCAGUACGUCUUCGACACAAGAGAGUGAAGAGACAAUUACUGGAAGACAUUUUAGGGUUUCCUAAUUAAUUACCCUCGUACGUAGUUUUUGAUCGAAGAUUAUUUGAAGAACCUAUUCUGAAUCUCAUCCUCAUCAAGUGCAAAACUAAAGUGAUUUUGAAUCCAAAAAGGACUGAACUGCAUGGUAUACGAAUCAUGAUCGUAGGAAUAUACCUAAAAUUUCUCACUUAUAUCAGGAUCACAAAUAAUUAACUAAGCUAUAUUGAUUCCAUUUUCGAUUUUGAAUAUAGAAGGCAUGGUGACGACUCAUGAUCGUCGUGAAAUGUUAGUAUGCAAAUAUUGGUUACCCGGCCUUGAGCAUUAAUAAUAUUGAUAGAAUAUUAUAGUUAGUAAUAAAUCAAAAUUAUAUAACGAUGAACAUGCAAUCGUACUUUGAUCAUUUUUCUUGUUUACUUUCUUGCAGAUAGGACUGGAGUGUCAGCUGAGCGUAGAGGAAUUGGUUCUUGAAGUUCAACAGAGCUUGCGGUCGGACACUGCUUAACUAAGCAGCAGAUCGAUCGAGGACAUGAACCAAACGUUAACAAAAUAACCGAAGGACAUAUAGUUAGUUUGAUCGAUUCGGUACUGGUUAAGUUAGUUUGAUGCAUGGUUAAUUUGCUAUAGUAUGCAUAUGAAUUGGGGAGAAAAUCGUUUCACUGAAGAAUGUUGGAAUAAGAAGCAAUGCGCUUCUGCGUUAAGUAUGAACUAUCUUCUUUUGGUCUGCUUAUAAGAACUAUUUAAAGACUUAUUUAUUCUUAUAGUCUUAUUACAUGCAUGAUACGCCACCACUUACUUCAUCUCGUGGAAGAGUGAAAUGGGAGAGUAAAUUAAUUCUAUCUGAAACAAUCACUGUACGUAGGUCUUUAAUAUAUGUAUCAUAUUGCUGAAAUAUACAUACAAAUAACAUGUAUGCAUAUAUAUACUCUGUGGAACAGGAUCGAUCUGCAUUACUGAUCGAGUCCGACUGGAUCACUGAUCAAGUAUUCAUCAUUCAACUAUUCACCAACGUUGGUGGGUAUUGUGUGAUUAAAUAUCGAUCAGAUUUGAUUCUGCAUGUUAAGAUGAUGAUGUGUACUGGCUACAAUAAUGAUGGGCAGGAACUAGCAACUCUUUCUCUGCAGUGAAGUAAUGGAAAAAUGUUCAUCAUUGUUUUGCCAAAGUAGUAGAUCGAUGGCAUGGAAGGAUCUAUAUAUUGAUACAUUGUCCUAAGGCGCAGCACUAAUCAUAUAAGUUGAAAAAUAAAAUGCUGAUAAAUAAAUAAAAAGAAGAGAAUAUAUGUGAAAUUGCUCUUAUCAACCUCUAUAUAUAGAGUCUCGAGUUGAACAGGUUUCUCGGUCUUAAUUUCUUGCUUUUCUUUUGGUCUGCUACGAAAGGGCUGUUGAAUUUAUCUCUCAAGAUGUCUGUAACAAAUUAAAGAAGAAGAAAACAUUCACUACUAAAACGUACGUCUACACUACUAUCUAUUACGUACUAAACAUACCAGAAAAGUUUACAGUAUAGACCAACUUCCUACAGUCGUAUCUUCGUAGUUUACCUUAAAAGAAUGUGAUAAGAAUUCACUUGCAAACCAUGCACUUUAGGCCUCGAAUCCGCUCAUAUAUUCGGAUCAAGAGCCAUUAUAAACAAGAACAUUUCGACCAUCCAGUAUGCUAACAACUGCAUCAAACUAGGUUAUAUGCUAUCAAUGGCUCAAUGCCACUUACAUGAUCAAUACUCCAACAACGAUAAAGAGCCAAUUACAUUAAUCCCAAUCCAAAGUCGAGCCAUCAAGAUAAAGAGUGGGAUCAAAAGCAUGUACUGCAUUGUGGGCAUUUGGGGUUGAAAGAUUUAGGGGAUAGAGAUGGGUUCGAUCAGUUCUUUGUGGGCCUUAUCCCUUAGAACAGUGCACUGCAACCUUCUACCUGCUCUUUUGACAUUGCAAGUGUUCCAAAACAUCCGCACUAAUCGAUCAGUAAGUGACCAACUCUGUAGCCUCACAGCAACUUCUUUCUUUCUAAAUGUCUACUCUUUUGUAGCCAGUGACAGUGAUAAUGAACCUAAUUUUGGCACCCAGACUAUAUGAUUGGAUUGCGAAAUAUCUAAGUGGGUUAAUGUGUUAACUAAGCAAACUAUAACUAAUCUUGAAAAAGCAACAGAAAGUAAAGCAUUCAAAAAGCCACAAAUCCGUGAUUAAUUAGCUGCUCAUGUCUUUGUCCCUAGGCCUACAUGAACUAAUUAAUCUAGUAAAACUCCACUUUCUCUCUUCUACUCCACCACAUGCCUUCUGCCGCCAUAGCCGGAGUUUAAGGGGUGCCAAUGCAAGCACUCAAGCAGUCGCUCUCAAGUAAACAAGUGAAUGAAAUAUGAAUUUCAUGCCUCAAAAUAAAAAACAAAUAUUGAUGCAUGUAUUUUCAAGCAUACCGAUUAUAUUAACGCCUACAAAAUCGGUUACAUAUAUAUAUUAUCUUUCGAGUUUUAAAUAUAAUAAUUUGGUUUAAUUACAUGUAAAUGUGUAAAAUAAAUGUUGUAAAUUCGUUGUCAAUGUUGUAAAUUUGGUUAAAAUGAAUUAUAAUUUUUCCCUGAUUAAUCGUAAAUGAGUGUAUAUGAUAUAUCUCGGUCCUAUACAGACAAUCCCGCUAAACGAUUUUAAGUCAUGAACUCAUCGUACAAUUAGCUAAUGUUUUCUCGAGCCUGCCCUAGAUGGGUCCAUGCAUAUUAUAGGAUUUUGAUCAUAAAACCUUCAAGUUCAUGAUUACUAAUUCACACUUUGACAGAGAGUAGUAAGUACAAAUAAUCCACUGCAUGCCGUGUGUUGUGAAUAGUCAUUUUCAUUUCCUGCUAAAUUGUUCUGCAUCAUAUAUCAUAAUGAUUGGAACAGCUCAAGAACACAUACAUACAGACUCCAUAAUUGAUAAUUUCAUGAUCUGAUCAGAAUCCUACCACGUGAACACCAGAAGAUUAAAUCUGAAGCAAGAUUGACAUGAAAAGACAUGUAAAUCAUGAUUGCUUGGGUAAGUUUUAUUUUGGAGAAACAUUCAUGAUCUAUUCCAUUACAAUUUGACCUGAAACACACCCCAUUCAUGAAAAGGAAUUACUGAUUUGAUGCAUUUUGUUCUUUCUACUUUCUAGCUUUGGCUUCUUUUAUGUUUUUACUGUCAACCCAGAACAAGAUUUUAUUGAGUGAGUGAGGUAGAGCCAAAAUCUGUAGCAGCAAAAUAAAUCCUAAUUGUCAUGAACACUCCCAGCCAAAGUGGUCCAAGAGCUAUGAAAUUUUGCACCCAAAUUAUUGCAAGUAGCAGCCAAAAUUUUGUUGAACCAUAGAUCACUAACAGUACUCCAUUGUUUGAAUUUAUCUUAUUCCCUAACUUUACAUAAAUUACAUAACCAUGUAGAAAUUCCUAAAUACAACUCACGUCUACAGUAUCAGUUUGGCUAACUAAUUAUCAAUCCACGACUCAUCAACCAAUCGAGUCAUGUCUUCAUUCGAGAGGUUGCCUAGUUGUAGUUGUGUGAAGAUUCUUCUUGUUCAACGAGUCCAUGCAUAUUCGACUCAGAACGUAUCGUUUCUAAUAACAAAAUCCUAUCUGUAUAAUUUGUUGUAUAUGUAAUUCAGACGGUAAAUAGGAACAAUUAUGAAUUCAAAUGAAAGAAAUGGUCAAACCACAAAUUUAAGGAUAAUUAAGCAGAUCCUACGCUGACCUUCAUUCCCGCACUGCUAGUGAGAGUGAUGCAAAACCCUAACCCUAUCUUUCUGCUGACAAAAAACGACAUCAUCAUGGCACAGCGGAGCUUCCGCGCGUGACGGCACCCUCGUCGUCACCGGCCGGGAAGUCCCAAGUACCACAACCCUCAUCAUCACCGCCACGUGUACGGCCACAGAGAGGGGAGUGGCUUUGAGAACUGAGAAGAGUGGGAGAGAGCAAUAAUGAAGGGGAAUGGCUGUGGUCUGGUGUGGUCACUGUGGUGGGGUGCACUUUGGGCUUCUUAAACCCGGGCCGUACAAAAGAAAGAAAGAUUCCCGCGGCAAAUGGGCUCACCUGACCCGGACCUACUACAAUUACUGCUCUCACUACUCUAAUCUGUGUCCAGUGACAAGUCGUCUGAAACUCCGCACAGUAACUGACAACUUUUGCCGUUACUUUGCUCACGUCAUCCUCCCUCGUCCUCUUCUUCCCCAUUACAUCGGCUCCGCUUCUCGGCUCGCCGGCUCCUUUUUAAAUUACUUUCUUUUUGCUGUUUUGCAAUCCAUUUUUACAGCGCUGUCCUUGUAAAUUUGUAAUUACUAUAUAACCUCAAUAUGUGAAAUUUUCUGGUGUACCAGGUACAUACGUUUUCACCUUUCAACCUCGACAAGAGACGAGAGUUAAUACUUGAUACACAGAAACGCAGUUAACUUUUCUUUUUCUAUCUUCCUCUUCUUGGGUUCAGGUAUAUUGCAUUAUUCUAAAUUCUCGUUCUCGUAAUUUUCCAGAACAGAUGUAGACGAGAGUAUGCAGCAGAUCGGCAUUAGAUACUGUGCGGCAUGUCGCAAAUUCAUCACCCAACCCAGUACACUGUGUCACGCCGAGAACAAUAAUUUCUUUGCCAAUUUCUUACGCUAAACUCAUCUCUUUUCUCUCUUACCUCAACUCCUCUGCCUCUACAAAUCAGGUAAAGCUCAUCACUGGAUUAAGUAUCAAGGUCAUUGCCCAUAAAACAGAGGGCCCGAGUUGGUAAAUGCAUGUAAAAGCUUAUUAGAAUAGAAUCAUAGAUUAGCUACCUAGCUUUUGCUUCUGCUUUUCUCUCUUUCUCUGUAUAGCUUAGCUGUUGUGUAAGUAAACAUGUACUCAGAUUUAGAAUCACAAUGCUUGAUCAGAUCAGUCAGUACUAAUAUGCAGCAGCAGCUGCAGCUGCAGCAAAGAAAAGAUCGAUGCUUUCAGAUUCUCUCGUAAAUAUGAAACAGAUUCGGUUGCUGGGGUUAGGUUUGCUUCUUCAGCUAACCGAGCUUCACUAGUCCUUUUCUUGUCUUGCUUUUGGGUCCCCUUUCUCCAUUGAUGAAGAGAACGGUGCCACUUACAGAUCAGAGGAAAAAACCGAUUGAGAUUAAUUAGCUGUGUUUGCAGGUGUUAACAGUUAACGUAUUGGUGUAGAAAAAGAGAUAGAGAAAUUGAAUUUUUUUUUUUUUUUGAAAGAUUUUAAGAAUAAUUGUUGUGAUCGAUGCAGUGUUUCAUUUUCAAGAGGAGAGAUCAGACAUGAGACAUGUCAUGUGUGGUGUUCGUCUGUUAUGAUUGAGAACACUUCCUAAGUUGGGAGGUAUCCAAACUUUUCCAUGUCAAGUUGUCAACGACUACAAUAUCAUUUUCUUGGCCUUUCGCCAUGUUUUUUGUAUCAAGAUUGUUUUUUGCUUUUGGAAUUUCUGUGCUAAGCUCCAUCCAAUAUGAAUGUUCUAAAAUCACAUCCCAGCAUGAAUCACCAAUCACAAUCUCUUACGUUUAUUUCUUGAAAACAAUAAGGGGUGAAGUACAAAUAAAUACACAAAUUUUGGGGCUCAUUCUAAAUAAAUACUCUGUUCAUAAAUUAUUUCAAAUAAAUAUCCGGUUAUGCAAAUUCUUAAGUCUGUUAGACCUUCCGUUAAAACAACCGUCAACUUCUCUACGGUGACCUUUCAAAUCUUAUUGAUAAUACCAUUUUGUUGGCAUCUUGAUAAUAAUUCGAAACUAGCAAAGGAGGUACGUGUGCUCGGACAAUCGACGGUAUCCCUUUAUAUGUUAUAGUGAAAGUACUAUCAAGAUUGAAUAUGGUACCAAGUCAUUUUCACAUAAUUCUGUCUUCGUUAUAUUCUAGACCCCAAUUACGGCUUCAGCUCGAAACUUUCGAAAGAAAAUUCAAACUAGCUACUACGGUUAUGGAACAUGUGAACAUCAAUUAUGGUAGUAGGAGGAAUAUGUAGGUUGUUCAAAAUUUGAGGCAAGAAUGUACCAUAAUACAUUUUAUUAUAUGUGGUGCAUAUAUAAGACAACUGAAAAUAUAAUUAAAAACCUUGAGAAAUUAAACAAUGAAAAAUAUCAUGAGCACAGAUAUACAUAAAUCAUGAACAUGGUGUUCCUGUUUAGGUUUAGUAUUCAGUGAUGAACUAUUUGUCUAGUGCGUGGACUAUGAAUUUAAGGACCAUGUUUCUAAUCAAAGUUGCCACUUCUUGUUUACUUAUGAGACUACAAACUUAGAAAUUUAGGGACUGGUGUUGUUGUUGUUGGUCAAAAGUAAUUAAAAGAUGCAUGCCUCAAUUUCUUGUAAAGCUAAUCAUCUAUUUAAGUGUAAAAAUACAAGUACUAGUGCUUUGGGUGGGUUGUAUAUUCCAUAUAUCAAACGACAAGCUGCCUAACCUUUCCGCCAUCUCUAUUAGGCUAUAAGCUCGAAACAAUGCCAUCAUGAUAAUGCAGUUAGUAGCUAUAGCUGCUAUGCUAAUAUAUGUUCUGCAUUAUGAGUUUGUAACAUCCUAAGUCUGCAUUUGCAUUACAUAUGUUAACGUAUCAAUACUAAAACAUAAUCAAAAUUUUGCAUAUAUUGAAGAUAGAUAAAUUUUUGUAUAAUAGUAUAUCAGACUGUAGAACUGUAGAUUAAUUUAAGAUCAAGCUUAAUUAGUUAAUCUAUAUGGACAUAUAUGGUGUCAGUUUACUUAUAUGAGAGAUAUUAACCUAAUAAUGCAUCGCAGAUGAAAUCAUCAAACACAGUGUUUCCUACGAAUUCUAUAUAUAUGGUAUACACAGGGCUUGUCCAUUUAUCCCUUUUAUGGGGUAUCUAAGCCACACCAGAUGAAACAAGAGGAAACCUACAAAAAAGGGGCCUAAACCUAGUAAGUCUGUUCAUAUUAUACAACACGAAGACAUAGAGAUUAGCAGUGUGAAAGUCCUCCGAAGUAUAUGAAAUUCUGCACUAGUGAAAUUCUUGGCCUAUGAAAGAGACAAUAGAGGAACACAUGCAGCAGAAAUCAAGUAGGAAGGAGCGAAUCAGUGAUUAGUAUAUAUGAGCAAAAUAGUUAACAAUGUAUACCUCUCUCUCUUGGGAAUUAAGUCGAACAGAUGGUGUGCAUCGUCGUACAUAAGCCAUAUUCCACGCCAAAACCAAGCUUGCGAAACCCAAAACGAGAGUUGCGAGUGUGUGAAGCCCUGUUCGUCUCUCUCUCUUGCUCUGCCUAUAUUUUUGGGGUUGGGUGAUGGCCACUGGGCAAAUCCAAAAACACCAACAUGGCCACCAUGUGAGUAACCUGCUCUAAUUCCUUGGUGCCCGUGCUUGAACUUUGAAUUCCUUGCUUUGACUUGUGGCGAUUCUAUAUUGAUAAACAAGUGAUCAUGGAUGGAGUUGAUUCUUUGCUUGUGGGAUUACUACUGUUGGUAGGGUUUUUAUAAUGAUCCCAGAUUUCCAGUCUAGUUGUUGUUGCACUAAACGAGUAUGAACUAGGUCGCAUGAGUCAGCGAAUGUGGCUGCUACAGAGGUAGCUAAACUCCUAUGCACACCAAGUUCAAGAACCGAUUGGUGUCUUCACUCUCGUACAUUCUGCAACGUUGAACAUGAAUGAGUAUGUAUUUUAAUGAAGCAAAAUUUUGCAUGUUUAUUUUUUUUGGUUUACGGUUAACUUCAUUUUGAUCUUUAUUUUAUCGAUUUUGAAAAUUUACCUCUUAAAUUUUUUAAUUUUCAUCAAUCAUGCCCAUUCUUAAGAAUCUAUUCAAUUUGGACGUUAAAUGCUAACAUGGAAUCUUACAAAAAAAAAGUUCUAAAGUGUGAUGUUUGUCAUUUAGUUACUGUUUUAAGUCAUAAAGUCAAAAUUAACGUUCAAAUAAUUUGACAGAAUAUUAUCAAAUAAGCAAAGCUGAUGAAAAUUAGAUUUAGGGGGUAAAUUUUCAAAAUUGAGAGAACGGCGACUGAACUCCAAACCUCAGGGAGAGUAAAAUGAGUUUAAUGCUUAUUAAUUUUUUUCUUCUUUAAAAAAAAUUAUUAAAAUCUCUCGACCUAUACUACACGGUCUACACUCUUGCAAUGUCAGUGAGAUUAAAAGACAUGACCUAUACAGUGUCAGUAAGCUAGCAAACCUACAAACCACGGCUCACCGACAUUGUACGGGUAAAAAAAGAAAUACAAUAGAAUGCAUAACCUUGGAGAUUACUGAGGAUUGUUUGAGCUUAUUAUUCAUGACAUUGCUAAAGGCUUUAAUGAUAUUUCACUUAAACAUGUUUAUAAUGCAUGAAUCAAACUUUGUCGAGGGAUGCAUUGGUAAAUUACAGCCGCUCUUUUCAUAUUAAUUGAUUUUUUUUUUAAGAGAUAUUGGUCGAUCUUGGGUUAGUCUAAUUUAAAUGCAAAAGCCUUGAGGACACCAGAGCCUACUUGAUCAAAAUCUGUGACUCCAGAAACAUGUUACCUUUCUAUAAUUAUGGAAUCAAAGUUUUUGAUCGAUUAGGCUCCGGAUGUCAUUUGUAUUUAAACUAUAUCAUAUAUUCUCUAUUCUUAUCAAAUGAAAAAAAAAUAUUAAAAAAAAACCUAUACUAUUCCAUUAGUCGAUCUCAAGACCUACUUACAAAAGAAAUAUUAUUGUCACGAUAUUUGCUUCUUUUUUCUUUUUUAGAAAUAUAAUUAAGAUUUAUAAUAGCUUUAUUAUAGAUUUAUUAGAAAAAAAUACUUUGUCAUUUGAAAAACAAAAGUGUAGGACCAUUUUAUAUAUUAUGCAAGUUCCUUAAUAAUUGAUCUCAUACAACUCUUGUCCAAAGUUAUCCAUCCACAUCUAGAAAUAGCAGGCGCACUCAAUUGCCCGUAAAAUACCUAAUGAGCACUGGGGCACAUUUUUUUGGUACAAUGCAUAUCCCUAGCUUUAGUUUCCUUCGAUCAGAAGCUUAUUGAUUUCCAGAAAUGCAUGAUACAAAGUGAAAAAAACCUCAGAACUCUGGAGGCAAUCAUUCCCCAGAUUCAACUCUAUUUCAAUACUAGCUCACUGAUGCAUAUAUUUUUUUAUGCGUCUGCAAAUUAUUCUUGUUGCACCAAAUUAUUAACUCAACCAAAUCAGAGGCAGAAAAAGUAUGUUCCUCUAUACUAGCUGUUAUUUAAAACUGAAGCACUGCUGUAAGUGUGUCUUGCUCUCUUCUUUUAUAUUAUCCAAUCUCUCACGUUGCAGUGUUGCACAGACGUGAAAAACUCCAAAACUUGUAAUAAAUAUUGUUCUAAAUUUUUGAAUGUAUUUGUGAGUUGGUGUCUAUCUAUACACCAUUCAUGAUUCAUGACCAUAUCUGCAGCAAAAGCUUCAGCUUAUCUCAUACAAAGAUAACACCUAUCCACACAGACACCAGAUGUUGAUCUGGAAUCUCUUCUGGACUAUUUUAUCUUUGAACUGAUCGUCUAAGUGAACGUAAGAUAUGGUUUUACCAGUUUCACUUUUUUAGCUUCGAUUUAUUUACAGAUUAAGGUUUCAAAUAUGUGUGAUACAAAUGAAAUAUCAAAUAUUCAUCGACAUUUCCGUAAUUCAACUUUAAACCUAGCUUGGUUUGCAGCAUACUGUGAUUUGAAACCUCCAACCUACAACUCUUUGUUUAGCUGUUAGCAUGAUAAAGCUACAGCAACCCAACAAGAAAUGAUGCUUGCAUGCAGGCACUGAAGCCACUCCUUUUAGCUCAUCAUAUAUAAUUCUAGGUCUAAGGACAAUCCAUCAUUGUCAAGCUAGCAUUAUAUACAGUACCCACUAUAUGUCCAUGCAUGAUCGAUAUCACUAGGGGUGGGCAUAGGACGGGAUGGGACGGGAUUGAGGUCAUCCCACGUCCCGUCCUGGUUGUUACACAUGGGACGGGAUCGGGACGGGCCUUACAUUUUUCAGACUCGAUCCCGCCGGGCCUAAUCCCGGAUGGGACUGGACGGGAUCGGGACGGGAUCGGGAUGGGACGGGCCCAAUCCUGGCCAUCCUGCAUCAGUUUCUUUUCUUCUAGAAAUCGUACAGUUACAUUUGAAAUUUCAUCUAGGUGUCUUUAUAAGAUUUGUAGUAGACAUCUUAAUGUCCAUUCCAGAAUUUGAAUCACUUGAAAAUGAUUUUCUCGAUUAAGUUAUGAUUUUUUUAAGUUUAAGGUCUGCAUCUAUAAAUUCUGCAUAUCAAUUCUGUGAUUCUGAACCAAUUGGCUUCUUUUCAAAAACUGUACAAAUUGGUUGGUUAUGUGAGUUUAGUGUUCUCAUGAAAGUUACAGAAGACAUCCUAAAGAUUAUUUGAGAGUUGGAAUCUCUCAAAAAUAAGUUUUCUACAAUUAGUUAUGAAUUUUGAAAGUUAGACGGGACGAGCCCAAUCCCAGCCAUCCUGCAUCAGUUUCGUUUCUUCUAGAAAUCAUACCGUUGCAUUUGAAAUUUCAUCUUGGUGUCUUCAUAAGAUUUGUAGUAGACAUCUUAAGGUUCAUUCCAGAAUUUGAAUCACGUGAAAACUAUUUUUCUAGAUUAAGUUAUGGUUUCUUAAAGUUUAGGGUCUAUAUCAGUAAAUUCUGAGAUUUGAACCAGUUGGCUUCUUUUCGAAAACUGUACAAAUUGGUUCGUUAUAUGAGUUUAGUGUCUUCAUGAAAGUUAUAGAUGACAUCUUAAAGAUCAUUUGGGAGUUGGGAUCUCUCAAAAAUAAUCUUUCUACAAUUAGUUAUGAAUUUUAAAAGUUUGACAGGACGGGACGGGCCUGACAUGACUCAAAAUUUCAAUCCCGCGUCCUGUCCUAUUGUUUCUCUAAUGGUACGGGAUGGUACGAGACCGGUGUUUUUAGUUUCAAAUCCCGUCGGGACCAGGACAGGACCGAGAUUUACGGGAUUUGUGCCCAGCCCUAGAUAUCACUGAAAAUUUCUACACACACAUAACCCUCCAACAUUGAGGCCCCCUACCCACCAAACACACAUACUGACAUAUACAAACACAACCGUCCACGUAUUUCGUGGACUCUACUAGUUCUUCACCUCAUUGAUCUCUCUUUCUCAUUGUGUUUAAUUUGCCAGCUUCUACUUGGAUUUGAGUUCAGCUGCGAAGCUUUAAUCUUCCUUCUUUUUGGCCAAGACCCUGCUGUGUAAUAAGCUACAGUAAUCUUGCAGUGUCCCUUUUCCUUUUGGGGGGGGGGGGUCUCUCCUCCUCCUCCUUCCUUCUCAAACCCUCAACAGUUGUCUUCUCCAAAUGCAAUUAUUACCAAAAGCAAAAUCUGGGAACUUUAGGAGACAGCAGAAUGGAGUAGAGUCGAAGAGUUUGACUUGCACAAAAGCACAGAGGGAAUAGAGAUGAUCAGCAAAACUAAACAUGACCCCAUUGUUGCAUGUGUAGCUUUUGUCAAAUAUCGUGAACGCCCCCGUUAAAAGUGUAUCUGCGACAGUAGUCGAAUGAGAUUUAACUUUUUCUUUCCUCGUGUAUAGUUACAAGAAAUUCGUCGACGAACAUAUACGUACAUGUUUAAUCGAUAUAUAUUCAAAUUCUUCGUGAACUCUUUUUUUUGAGAAGAAUAGCUUUAUUGAUAACGGAAUAAAAUUACAGCAUAAUAGAAUGACCGGUUGUGGUACCUACACCACGACACACAUUCCCAAAAAGAUCCGUAGUUACGGGUCCGUCGCCAAUAGCAACAACAUCCAUGAGCCAAGUGGGCCCAACCCCUAACCCAAAUUCACGCUAAAAAAGAGCUACACAGUCCUGAGAGUAACGAUACAACCUUGCUGCCAACACUAAAACGAGCAAAUUCUCCUUCUUUCACACCGUGUCCAAAUACCACCAGACCACGUGCAAAGGUAAUCCACCCUCAUGUUGCCACCUAGACCACACCGAUAUUAAAGCCGAUAGUCCCCAGGAAUAACGCCACCGAAGUAGCACAUUGACCAGAAAACGACACUCAAACCCUCGCCCAAAAGAGGAGGGACUUAUACCUAUCCAAAAACCUAAACAAAGCCUAACCAAAAAACAUAAACUAACAAAGGACCAAAACUGGCCCAAAACCAUACCACUGGCCCAGGCCCACCAAACCAGUUCCAUUAGAGGCCCAAACCUGCUCCACCCGGCCCAAAGCAGCAGCUGCAUCGUCACCUCCGUUUCACCCCCAGCGCCGCCACAAGGUCUGGGCCGACGUCGUCGUUGGAGCCCCUGUAUGCAUUCUGACCACCACCGAGUCCUGCUGCGAAGCCAUAGUUUAGUCCUAGAGACAAAAUCGAUGCCGAUCUGUGAGAACGCAGACUCGUCGUCGAUCUGGUUAAACCUGAAGAUACUGCCACCCAUAACCUCGCAACAAGACAUCAGUUCAAGACUCCGGGGAUCCCACGCCAUGCCGCAGCCAGACCCUGGACACCGUCUUCCCUGAGAUACAACAGCCCCUCCCUGCAGAGUGAAGCCGCAGUUCGUAUCCUCCGUCACAAAACCGACCGGAAGGCCCUGCCACCUCCACAAUACCAAAACAGCCCGUCCGGCCGCACCGACCCUACACCAACGAGGCGAGAAGCCCACGCCGAUGCGGUGGCGCCGCCGGACAAGCCAGACGCACCCCUCUCUUUCCAAAGCUCCCUCCUAUUUUUACGGAGCAAACCCUAGUAUUUUUUACCACAAUUCUUCGUGAACUCUAAUCAAAGUAAUCAAUCAUAAUCCAAUGUUGUUCAAAUAUCACGAGUGUUUAGUGUUUGAAUUGAUGAGCAUGUUAGCCUGUCUCAAUUACAAAUAUAGUAUUACGAGUGUGUAUUCAUGUAUAAACGAUCGAGUGAUAUUUAACUGUUAUUACUAUUUACGUAAUUAAUUAUGUUUACAAAUUAUUGAACAUAUUUUUCUACGCAUUUAACAGAGGGUCCAGUUCUGGGACACUAUAUUUGAUACUAAUUUUGACAUUGUUUCAUGGCCAUUAGAUUUUAAAAAAAUCGAUGGACUAGAUCAGUUGUAGAUAUGAUGCCAACCUAUAAAAACUGAUGUGGCAAUUGACGUGGCAUUACUUAUUUCAUAACAAAUAAAAUCAAAUUAAAAACAAAAAAAACAAAAUCAGAACUUAAAAUUUGAAAUAUGAAAAUCAAAAUCGAUCAUUGCUAUAAAAGAGAAAUUUUAAAUACACACCCCUAAUAUCUUAAUACACACCCCUUACUUAAUACACCACUUAUUUAGUUUUUCAUUUUAGUAUUAUACUUAAUACACAUCCCAAACUACCUAAAAUGCCAUUAAUUUAUGAAAUAUUCUAUUAUUUAAUAUAAUCAAUAUAUAUACUAUUUGGUAUCACUUUUUACAUAUUAUUUCAUCUAAUUUUUGCUAGAAAUUUUUGGUUAUCAUUGUUCAAUUUAUAAUCAAAUGAUUAUUGUUAUAUCUGAACUCUAAAUCACCAAUACAAGUUUUCAAGAUUCACAAGCUACUCUAAAUCACCAAUACAAGUUUUCAAAAUUCACAAGCUAGUAGAACUGCAGAAGUACAAUAGCUAUUAAACAUAGAUAGCUAGUUAUUCGAUAAAACAUGUCAUGAUAAAGAUGCAGUACAUGACAAUAUGAUCUGCAAGAUCAAACUAAAGCUGAUAUAGAUAAAAAAAAAAGAAAAAAAAGAAAAGACAACCCAAAUGAAUUAUGGAGAAAAGUUGGGGUUAGGAGAGAAGACGUGUUUUCGACGAUUUUAGGGUAGAAGAUGUUGAAAAGAAUACUUCUAUCGUGAUUUUUUUUUUUUUAAUAAUAUAUGUUUGUUUUGGUCAUUUAGGUUACUUAUAAAAAUCUUAAUAUAAACAUAAAAUAAUAGAGGUGUGUAUUAAGAGAUUAGGGGUGUGUAUUUAAAAUUUCUCGCUAUAAAAAGAAGAAAGAAAGAAAAAAAAAAAGACGACAUAACGCAAAAGACCCCAGAAGAACACACAGAUCAAGAGAAAGAAGAGAAAUACAAAUGAACAAAGAACGAACAAAUCUGUAUUGGGAGGACAUUGAUGAAACUCCAGCAAGACAUAGCUUGAUAUAUAGGGGUGAUUCCUUUAGGGGAAGAGUACUUUGCUUUCGGGUUUCUCUUAUACCAAGUUCAAUAUUUAUAGAUUAUUAGUACUCUUGAAUCUUGCUGCAACAAACUAAUGAAGUACUUAAACUAUAAGAAAUAAAAAGUCUGUAGCAUUCAAGUACUUACCUAAACAUUUUAAGGGAGACUUACUAGUUCUCAGAAUUAAAAUUAUUGACUUUUGUGUGAUAAAUCAAUUGGACAAUAUAUACAAAAUAUCCAUGAACUAAUCGGUUUUAGUUGUCAUAGACCAAUGACUACGGAAACAAAUUUUUUUUCUUUCUUCUUUUUAUCGCACUUAUCGAUUUUGAUUUUCAGAUUUCAGAUUUUAGGUUUUGAUUUUAUUUUUUUUGUUUUUAAUUUGAUUUCAUUUGUUAUAAAUAAGUAAUAUCACGUCACUUCAAUUGUCACGUUAGUUUUUAUAGGUUGACAUCAUAUCUAUAAUUGAUCUAGUCCAUCGAUUUUUAAAAAAUCUAAUGACCAAAAAAGGAUAUCAAAAUUAAUGUCAAAUAUAAUGUCCCAGAAACCGGACCCUUUAACAGAACAUAUACAACUUUUUUCAAGAAGAGAGAAUUUUGAAAAGAAGAAAUGGGUAAAGAAAUAGGGAUUGAACUAUUAAAAUAGCGCUAAGUUCAAGAUUCCAAUCUUGUUGAUGAGAGUUGGUUGGAGUGAUCUUUAUCAAAGAGUAAUGAUCAUUUGAUACAUAGUAUCUCUCGAAAUCCAAAGGGCACGUGAAUAAACACCACGGAGUUAAAUAGGAGAAGAAAAAAAAAGUCACCAAUUGAUGAACAUCUUACACAAUCAUCGCCUUUUGUGAGACUUUGAUCUCAAUCAAUCCAAGACAACUCAUUCUGUUAAAUUCCCCACUAGGUUUCUAGCCAACCUAACUUUAAUCACUUUUGUUAUUAACAAAUUAACUAAUACACUAACGUCACAUGCCUUAAAUAGUACAUAAUUAAUAUUUAAUUAUGUUUAAUGAAAUCUGAUUAAUCUAUAACGUUACACACGCAUCAGUCUAUUCAUAACAUGCAUCUCAAAUGAUUUGAUUUAACAGUAUAUAUUUCAUAUUAAUCUUAUAUUUGUUCUCAAAAUUACGAUAGUUUACUACUAACCAUUUAACCUAAAAUCAACAUAACUCUGACUAUAAACACAAAAUAAACACAGUAUUCUAAAGACAGUGUUCUAAAGAUGAAUGAGCAAAUUCCACCCUCUAUAAGAUCAUCUCACACCAUAGGCUAAAAAGUUAAAUAAAAACCAAAUUUAGCCUAUGAUUUUUUAGUCUAUGGUUACUCUCACCAUAAGCCAAAAUGUAAUUUUCAAGAUAAAAAAUUUGGCUUGAACUAUUUUGUAAGCCAAAUUUGGCCUUCCACUUCCGUAAACUAAAGCCAUUUUGUAUUCAACUUUUUUUUUUUUCNNNNNNNNNNNNNNNNNNNNUUUUUUUUUUUUCAGAUUUGCCCUUCUAUCUACCAUCUUAUUUCAUUUUAUAUCAUUUUUAAAUUUGAAUUAAAAAUCUUUAAUCCCUCACAAAUACAUAAUUAAAAACUCGUUUAUAUCAAAAAAAUUAUUACCAUUGUGAAGAUCUCGACGAGACCUUUCAUAUAAGCCUCAUAUUUAAUAUAUUUAGAUAAAAUCAUAUACAUGAUUAAUUAAAAGGUUACAUACUUAUUAAAACGUAACAACACAAAAUACUAGACUUAACAAAAUUACAACAUAAUGAAAUAAGUAACAUAAAAUGCUAGACUUAUUAAAAACACAUUAUUUUUCAAUAAAAAAAAAACUCAUAUUAUAAUAACCGUCAACAAUAAUUCGGUACUCCACUGCUUUCGUUAACUGGCUCCUCCAUGUCCAUCACUUGUUCCGGUACCUCCGCUUCCCCCAUAGUCUUUACCUUCUCCGUAUCCAAAAGGUCCUUCAUAAAGAAUGAUUCCUCCAUAAUUUGGCGUACGUUGCUCUGUAUUCAUCGCUUGAUCCAUAUUGACUUGAAACUUGAAGUGCAUUACCAAAGCUUCCAGAGUUGAAUGUAGCUUGUGUGUCACCUUGGAACGGAUUCAUGUUAGCAAAAUUAUCAUAGCCAAACAUCAUGGGCGAUUGUUUAUUGUUGGGAUUCACGAGCUCUUCGAUCUUUGCCUAAUUUCAUUUUUUCUCAUCUCAAAGUACGUACUCACAAUCUUUCGGAUCCGUAUGGAAUCCAAACUCACGAUUUUGGGAUAAACGUGUCUUACAUGAUAUAAUUACUACAUGCAUCAUAAUGCACAACAUGAUUAUCGAGGAUGAAAGAGAUUUAUCGGCUCCGAUUAGGGAAUUUAAUGAAGCACUUGCCCCUACUGUUGAGAUAGUAGUUAAUGAAACAACAAGAUUUAGGCAAUUUCUCGAUCGCCAUAGGAAAAUCAAAGAUAAUAAAUAAAGCUCAUUAUGAACUUUGAGAUGCUUUGAUUGAACAUAUUUGGCAGUGACAUGGAAACAUAUAAGUUUGAAAUCGUGACCGAUAAAUGUUUAUUUUCAAAUAAACAUUUUGUUUUCAAAUAAAUUUGUCGUUCUAUUUUUUUAAAUUUUCGUUAGUUGUAUCUUUUAAUUAUCAUAUAUUUCCUAAGGAAUAAGAUUCAUGUCCUUCUCAAUAUUUGUAGUUUCAAAUUAUUUUUAAUAUUAUAUAUAUUUAUAUAUAUGAGAAAAGAAAAAAUAUGCAUAAAAAUAUAACAUUACAUAUAUAUGACAAAAGAAUUAGAUUUGGUUUUACCUUUAAAUUUAGUUUACGGUGGGAGUGUUUUUUAAAGCCAAAAGGCUAUAAAUUUGGUUAAGAAUUUAGCUUAUGGUAGGAGACUAUGGUAAGCUAAAAAAACAUUUCACAUAAUAUUCUUGUUUGAUAGGCUAAAUUUGACUAAAGAUUUAACCUAUCAUGAGAGAUAAUCUAAGAGGGGUGGUUUGAAAUCUUUUAAGUAAUGCGGUCGAUGUAUACACAUUCCAUCACACUCAAACAUGCAUAUUCAAUUAUUCCAAUAGUUGAAAGAAAGAAAACAAGUGCUAGACAAAAAUGUUGCAGUAGUUGCAUAGGUUAUAGAACCAUAUGCAAAAUCUAUAUCUACACCUAUCCACUUUCAAGUGUUUAGCCUUCCGUUUUCAAACAUGUAACAAAAUAGGGACAAUGAGCACCCACUCCAACCAAGGCAUUAUAAAACAUAGAACAAACGAAAUGCCUUUCAUCAAAAAUGUCAAAGACGUCUUGAAGAACCCCUUCCUUCGAUCAUGACCACAACAACGAAUUAGAAAGUGGUCUCGUGGUUUCUCCAUUUGACUCCACUUGAGAGAAUACACUAGUAACUAACUGUGACUUACUACUGUAUAAUGUAUACAAUGAGGUCAUUCAGUUAAUAUUACCCUAAUUACAGUUCAGCUUUGCGGGUUAUCACUUAUCACUAAUCUUUAAGAUCUUUAAGAUGGUUUAGGAUUUUAGGUUUCAAUGAUUGGAAGGUUUUCUACCUACUACCGUCAGAUCCUUCUGGGUCGUCUUGAUUAGCUAUAUUUUCACAAAGUAGGUAAACAUAGUUUUCAGUCAAUGUUAGUUUGUUUGUAGCACUGCAAUAGUGAAUAGUGAACCAUGUAGAUAGAUAUUUUAACGGUAUUAGGGUUAGAAGAUGAUUUUAACUAUUGUGUUUCAAAUUAACUUUCCAUCAUGAUAUCAAUAGAUGAUUUUGUGAUCUAUCCAGCUUUUGAAAUGAAAACAAAACAAUGAUAUACUCUGUUCAACUAUGAAGUAAUAGUCAUUAUUAAAUUAAGUCUGUUGUAAUGUUUUAAGUUUCACGAGUACAACAUAAUAUAACAUCGUUCUAACGAUUCGUGAAAUGAACAUUUCUAAUUAUGAUUAAUCACUUACUUCAAUUCCUUUAUGACAAAAAAAUAAAUUACUUAUAUAUUAAUAAAUAAUUUCAGAAUAUAUGUAUGUUAAGAGAGCUAUUAGUCGAUGACGGCUUGUCCGGAUCUGGACUGGGUCGUCCUGCUUUGUUUCGUUUAUGAUGAUGGAUGAUGGUGUGUUACCUCUCCGUGGUGGUCACAAACGAUGGUGGUUAUUGGGUGACGGUUAAUUGUAAGGAUGUAUCGAAGAUUCUGAAAUAUGUUAAGUUACGAUUGAACCCUUAUCGGAUUAUGUCAACUGUAAUCGCUGAUGUUUAGAUAGGAAAACGAGUGAAUAAAUUUUGUCCACCACGGAUACCUCCCAUAGUUUGUAAUUGAUUUAUAUAUGUAAAGAUUUUACCUUUUAAAAAAAAAAAAGAGGUACUAAUUUUAUCACGUUCUUGAUUUGGUUUUAAUCACUUCAGUGAUCGUAUAAAAUAGUAACAACACGAAUGCAAAAUAUCACUCUGAAAUAUCAUGGAAUCACAACCUUAAAAGACACUAAAGAAUUCGUCAUCUAUUGUAAACAUCAAGGUGAUGUAACUCUGUUUGGCCGAACAGUAUGGGAUCACAUCAAUUAUAGUGAAACUUGUAACACCUUGGUUGACAAGAACUCAACUUCAAAGUUAUGAUCGAAAGCAACAGUGGACGAUCUAUCUUAUCCUCUCGCCAAACAAUUCGAUCACAUCACAUUAAAGGUUUAAGAUGAGGGUCAUAGUGAAACGUGAUGGAACAUCAUCAUAUGGUGCAAUAUCUCAUCUGAUUAUACAAAUAUGGUAUCAUUGCUAUAUGAAAAGAACUGUGAACUAACUCAACUUAUUUCUAGUUAGGACACCCUAGCAAAUAAAUUUCAAUUCACACCCAAAGUAUCGUCGUAAUAGAUAAAACGUCCUAAUAUCUGAUCGUAAUAGAUAAAAAGUCGAUGAUGUGAUUUUAGCUUCAUAGUGUUCUUCAACUUCAUAGUGUUAUUGGAGUUGGGUGAACGAGAAAAUUAGAUAGAGGUUGAGCCGUUGAGGAAUUAAUGGAACUCCAGACUCAUGAAAACCUUUGGAAGUGGAUUUUGUGGCACACCCACCAAGCCAACGUUACAAGGAAGACUCGCUAAAGAAUCGCAACUAUUUUUCCAGAAACAAAUUGCCUUCCAUGAGUAAAACCAUGUUUGUUUUACGUGUCAUUUGAGAAAGAAGAAAUGAUUGAGUCAAACAAUGAACUUUCAAACCUUUUCCAAUCCUCAAUUCCUCGUUACAAAAAGAGAUUAUGACCCCGUUUGGUACAGGUGUACAAUAUUAUUUUUGAAAUACAACAGCAGUAGCAGUUUUUUUAAAAGUCACAACAACACCACCUAGCCCUAAAUAUGCUUUACUCCUAAAUAACUCAUUCAUAAAAGACAAAAGAAAGAAAUAUUAGCCUUGUUAAUCAUUUUAUUGAAACAAUGAAACUUCACUGUCAUUAAAGAAAACUAAAUUGAUUGCAUAUUAAAUAAUUUGCUUCUUUCAACUGUAUCAUUCUUUCUCUACUUUACUUACUUAAUAUUGGUCUUUUCUUGCUUUAUGUAUCUCCUUAUUUCUUUAACAAGUUCAUAUAAGUUUCAAUUAUUGAAUACACAUAUAAUCUAGAAGAGCUCCGCAGCUUUCGGAGCAACAGGAAACCCUAGGGUUUCAUAGGCGGCGGCGACCUCUUCUCGAUGAGUCGUCUUGCUCGUGCUUGGGUGACGGCGAGGGUAAGGGCGCAAGAGGCUUGAGACAGCAUUGGCCUUCUGGGUUUGGUGGCGGUGACUCACGGCGAAAAGGUUGUAGCGUUGGUCGAGGAGACGUACGAGAGGCUGUGCCUGGUUUAGUGCAGCGGCGACAGUUAGCGGCAAACUCAGAUCCGUCUUCUGGGUUUGGAUUUCCUCGUCAGGAGGCUAUAGCGGUGCAGAGAUUUGUUUCGGUUGUCAUUGAGUUUGGAUCGGAUCCAUUCUCAGUUUGUUAGACUUUAACUUAAAUCAGGGUAGGGUUGCCCUAGCUAGGAAGCAGAGAGGUAACUGAUUUCUGGCCUUUGAUCAAAAGAAGUCGGGGGUGGUGAUGGCAGAGGUGCGAGGCCGGCCACUGGAGAUGAGUGGUUGGUAUCGACGGUUUUGUUUUAGCCAUUUCUCCUCUCAUGAGGACAAAGACCCCUACAUGAUAUGAUCAGAGGGUUCCCUUUUACAUUUGCAAAUAUUAUACAUUCUAGAUAAUAUAAUGUCCAUAAUUUUAGAUGGAAUUUGGAAUUAUGAUUUCUGCUGAAGGAAACGAUACUCUAAUGAUGAAGAAACUUGUAGUCAUCCACCACUUUGAUCUGAAUCACACGGUAAAGAACAAAAUAAAUCAAACUUAGUUAAAAGGAUAAAAUAAAAUAUUGGUCACUUCUUAUAUUUUGAGGGUUUCGACAGUUCCUCAUGUUUUCAAUUUCAACCGAUCACUCCUCUUUCUUCUCAAAUUUUGACCAAUUGGUUCAUCUCGUCCCUUCUCGUCCAAACUCCAAAAUGUUUGUUAACUUGCUGAUUUGAACAAUAUUUUCUUUCAACUAGUUUUUCACUUCCUUAAUUAAAUGCCCUUAGGUAGGGAUGGCAAUAAUCCCCAGCGGGUAGGGUACCACGGGUAUUCGACCCUGACGGGAAAGAUAUACGGGUAUAAAUGGGUAACGGGGAUGGGGAUCCCCAGUAUUCGGAUUCUUAAAUCGGGUACGGGGCGGGUAUGGUAUUUUGAUAUUCGUCCUCAUCCCCACCCACAAAGGAUGAAAAUAUUAUUAUAUAUAAUUAUAUAAUUUAUUAUUAUAUAUAUAUUUAUAAAUAAAUAUUUAUGUAAAAAAAUUUGUGAUUCUCUUAAUAAACAUUUAAUGGAUCUUCCUUUUUAUUAUAUAUUUUUAUUCUCUUAAUGAAAUUUACCGGUAUUGUUAUGUUUUAACCAAGACUUGUAUUUAUUUUUCUUGGAUUGAAGCAUGAAACUUAUUUAUUUUGGUAUUUAAUUUUAAUUUCAUACUUUUAUAUAAUUGUAUUUCGUAUUUUAAAAAUAAAAAAUUAAUUUAAUACAUAAUUGUUAACGGAUACGGGUACGAGUAUGGAAAUGUAAUCCCCAAAGGGUACGGGUACGGGGAAUCCCCAUUAUCUAAUUAUGGGUACGGGGAUGCGAAAUAUAAAAAUGUAUGGGUAUGAUAUUUUGAUCUCUGUACCCUACCCUACCCAUUGCCAUCCCUACCCUUAGGUAUUUUUUUUUUGUUUUUUUUUUUUCUAUUUCUCUCUCUUUACUUACGGAAUAAAAUCUAGCUAGCUAGCAUCUAGAACAAUUGUAGAUACAUACUAAAUAAAAAAAUAGGAAAACCCUAACCCCUUUCAUAUUUUUUAAACAUAAGAUUUUAAUUAAGAUUUUGAAAAAUGAAAGAGCAUCUUUACUCUCUUUUACCUCGAUUCAUUUUCUUAAAACUUUCAAGAAUAUAGACUGUAUAUAUCUAUAUAUAAAUAUAUAUAUAUAUAUAUAUCUCGAUUCAUUUUCUUAAAAGUUUCAAGGAUUGAAAUUAAGAUUUGUUAAAAGAGAACAUGUAGGUCUACAAACUAGCAUGAUUGAUUAAACGAAAAAAAAUUUGCAUUAAUUUUAAUCAUUACAGGCUUUGUGGGAUGAGAUUCAUGAAAUAUAUGUUUGAAAGUCAUCAGUGUCCUAAAUGCAGAAGGAAUAUGAGCAUAAAUGUUGUAAGAGCAUCUCCAACAGCUUCCUCAUUUUCUUGAAAUUCUCAAUUUUGGGGAAUAUAGACCUAUUUUUAGGUCCAACAGCUUCCCCAUCUUAUUCCUCAAAAUGGGGAUGAAGAAGAAAAAGAAGUCUUCAUUCCCCAAAUUUGCAGCAAAGCCUUCCUUCCCCAAAAUUAAAUUCUUCACGUGCUCCAACGAAUUUAAGACAACAAUAAAAUAUUUUAUUGAGUAGUUUAUUGUUACAAUGAAAUAUAUAAUAUUUUUUUGUUAUAAUUAAUGAUGAUAUAUUAUAUUUUAUUGUUGUAUUAAAUGCUGCAAUCUCCAAAAUGGAGAAGCUGCUGGAUUUUGAUCAUAAUUUUUUUGGAGAGUUUAGCUUUUGCUUCCCCAUUUUAGAGAAAUUUUGGGGAAGCUGUUAGAGAUGCUCUGAAAAAAAGAACCAAUUUGCUUCCCUGAUGCUCAAGUUAAUUUGUCACACUUUCUAGUCAGCCUUGAUGGUUUAGAUCGUAGGUCAAGCAAUUCCUAAUAUUCCAUUAAUGUCAUGCAAUGUACAAGAAUCUAAACAAAUUAUACCCACCUGAGGAUGUCAGUUCACUAGUUCAGUAGUCAUCGGAAGAAAUGUAAACAAACAAAAUAGAAAAGAUCCCACCCAUGUCUUCCAAAAAAAAAAAUUAGGUAGAUUGUAACUGAGGGUGGUGUGCAAAUUUAAUCUGAACUAAUCAAAAAAUAAAAUCGAAACCCUUAUAACUUUAGAAAACUAAAGUAAACUUGUUGACACGAUCUACGUUCCGAGAAAUUUUUCAGUGCUACGNNNNNNNNNNNNNNNNNNNNNNNNNNNNNNNNNNNNNNNNNNNNNNNNNNNNNNNNNNNNNNNNNNNNNNNNNNNNNNNNNNNNNNNNNNNNNNNNNNNNNNNNNNNNNNNNNNNNNNNNNNNNNNNNNNNNNNNNNNNNNNNNNNNNNNNNNNNNNNNNNNNNNNNNNNNNNNNNNNNNNNNNNNNNNNNNNNNNNNNNNNNNNNNNNNNNNNNNNNNNNNNNNNNNNNNNNNNNNNNNNNNNNNNNNNNNNNNNNNNNNNNNNNNNNNNNNNNNNNNNNNNNNNNNNNNNNNNNNNNNNNNNNNNNNNNNNNNNNNNNNNNNNNNNNNNNNNNNNNNNNNNNNNNNNNNNNNNNNNNNNNNNNNNNNNNNNNNNNNNNNNNNNNNNNNNNNNNNNNNNNNNNNNNNNNNNNNNNNNNNNNNNNNNNNNNNNNNNNNNNNNNNNNNNNNNNNNNNNNNNNNNNNNNNNNNNNNNNNNNNNNNNNNNNNNNNNNNNNNNNNNNNNNNNNNNNNNNNNNNNNNNNNNNNNNNNNNNNNNNNNNNNNNNNNNNNNNNNNNNNNNNNNNNNNNNNNNNNNNNNNNNNNNNNNNNNNNNNNNNNNNNNNNNNNNNNNNNNNNNNNNNNNNNNNNNNNNNNNNNNNNNNNNNNNNNNNNNNNNNNNNNNNNNNNNNNNNNNNNNNNNNNNNNNNNNNNNNNNNNNNNNNNNNNNNNNNNNNNNNNNNNNNNNNNNNNNNNNNNNNNNNNNNNNNNNNNNNNNNNNNNNNNNNNNNNNNNNNNNNNNNNNNNNNNNNNNNNNNNNNNNNNNNNNNNNNNNNNNNNNNNNNNNNNNNNNNNNNNNNNNNNNNNNNNNNNNNNNNNNNNNNNNNNNNNNNNNNNNNNNNNNNNNNNNNNNNNNNNNNNNNNNNNNUUUUUUUUUAUGUGUAAGGAUUUCAUGAACUAAACACUCAAAAUCCAAAGACGAACAACAUAUACUAUCCGAAAAUAUAUAUAAUAAUCAAAUUAUAAACUGAAAAUUUAUAAGACUAACACAAAUCUAAUUAUAGAAAUAGGAUUAUCAAAACCCUGUUGUUUUAGAAAUCAUAUUGCUAAUUAGAAGGUAUUUACAUAAUGUUCUUCUUUCCUUUUGGAUCUAAAAGGAGUGAAUACAUUUUAAUAAUCUAUAUAUAAUUGUGCUUAACUUCUCUCUGCCCCCUUAAUUCUUUAAGAUGUCAGUGUUUUCCAUUUCAUUGGUAAGAAUAAGCUCUUCAUAGAUCAUAAGCCAAUAAAAUUUUCUUGUUUACUGGCCCUCUUGGACACUGGGCCCUGAGUCGACAGUCUCUUCUGUCUCAUAUCAGGUCCGGGUCUGCCUGCCGCGCCCGUAUCCGAACAAAACCCCUAGCCCAUACCUCCUCCCAUGUGAUAUUCUCACCCCUACCUCACCUCACCUCAUCUGCCCGUCAAAGUCAUCCUCAUCUCCCGCCACGUGGCACGUCCUAUGAGUGACAACUGGCGAGUGAUUUUGUGAUCUGUCUGAACCGAACCGGGGACAAAUCCGGCCCAAGCAAAUAUUGGAUCUGGAGCUCUACCUGCUACUCGGGGCAGCAUUAAAUGGCUUCUUGGCUACGGUCACUCCCGUGCAACCGUCGACAGAGAAGCUUGUGAUGUACACAAGUAGCAACCCAGCUCACAUAGUUAAAAACUCUAGAGUCAAAACACUCGGGAGAAAGAAGAAAAUGGAAGAACCCCAAAGUCAAAGUGUAAAUUAAAUAUAUUCUGUAACAGUAGUUUUUGGUUACGUGUUGUUAGAUUGUUAAUCAUAUUAGUUAUGACUAUUUAUUAAAAGGGAAAUGAUCAAAUGCACAAGGGUGUUGUUAAAUAUACCCAACAAACUUCUAUGUAGACCCAGCAAAACAAUUUUGUAGACAAAGGCAAUUUUAUCCUCAUGUAAAAUGACAAUAACGGUCAUGAUAAUUAAAACAUUAACAAAACAAACCAUGACACUCUUGAACCCAGUAUUUUCUAAUGUACCCAGCAGUACAACUUGAAAACAUUGUUGAUCCAAGCAAACCUUUAACCAGAACCCAUAAUCAAAAUUAAGUAUACACACAAUGUGUGUUUAUAUAUAACACAUCAUCAAUUAUGUUGCUAUCUAAAUUCUCAGUUCUCUGCCUUUCGGGUUUUUUGUUUUUUGUUUUUUUCAAAACAUCUGGUUUGAGCUCUGGACUUGGCUGACCAUCCAGUUUGAUAGGGUCUGGAUUUCGGCUCGCUAGCGGCGAGGGAUGCGUGAGGUUGAAGCAGAUUGUAUCAGUGAGCUUUGGGUUUUAUCAGAUGUGGGUUUAAUGGUUAAUCAUCUUACAAGAUUAAUUCCAAUUGUAAUACAUACCAAAUUACUCUUAACCAUACAUAAUUACCUAUGAUACCGAUCACAGUUCGAGCAACAUCUGCAGAAACUAUGAUGANNNNNNNNNNNNNNNNNNNNNNNNNNNNNNNNNNNNNNNNNNNNNNNNNNNNNNNNNNNNNNNNNNNNNNNNNNNNNNNNNNNNNNNNNNNNNNNNNNNNNNNNNNNNNNNNNNNNNNNNNNNNNNNNNNNNNNNNNNNNNNNNNNNNNNNNNNNNNNNNNNNNNNNNNNNNNNNNNNNNNNNNNNNNNNNNNNNNNNNNNNNNNNNNNNNNNNNNNNNNNNNNNNNNNNNNNNNNNNNNNNNNNNNNNNNNNNNNNNNNNNNNNNNNNNNNNNNNNNNNNNNNNNNNNNNNNNNNNNNNNNNNNNNNNNNNNNNNNNNNNNNNNNNNNNNNNNNNNNNNNNNNNNNNNNNNNNNNNNNNNNNNNNNNNNNNNNNNNNNNNNNNNNNNNNNNNNNNNNNNNNNNNNNNNNNNNNNNNNNNNNNNNNNNNNNNNNNNNNNNNNNNNNNNNNNNNNNNNNNNNNNNNNNNNNNNNNNNNNNNNNNNNNNNNNNNNNNNNNNNNNNNNNNNNNNNNNNNNNNNNNNNNNNNNNNNNNNNNNNNNNNNNNNNNNNNNNNNNNNNNNNNNNNNNNNNNNNNNNNNNNNNNNNNNNNNNNNNNNNNNNNNNNNNNNNNNNNNNNNNNNNNNNNNCUACUACUACUACUACUUACUUACUUCUUACUACUACUACUCUCUCUCUCUCUCUCUCUCUCUCUCUCUCUCUCUCUCUCUCUCUCUCUCUCUCUCUCUCUCUCUCUCUCUCAUCUGCUUUCCACCAUUGUCAGAAUCCGCACCACCACCAUCUCAGUCUAUCUCCUCUGUUGACAAGGGUUUCGACCGUCGACGACUCGCCGGUAGUGUGUUAAGAGCAGUCACUUCGUCAAGAACAUCGACAAUCGUCGACUGUAGCAGAUGAUCGACAUCACGCCAGUGCGAGGGUUCAAGAUCCUCCACCUCCGCCUCGCCUUCCCCUCCGUCACCUCCCUCAAUCACCGGAUAGUACUCCAGAUCCUCCUCCACAGUUGAGAUACGCCGCUCGGUGCUCUCUCUCCCUUACCUCUUCCCCCACCGAAAUGAGCACCAAGACCACCUCCAUUCAUGUACUGAUCAAUCGAGAUGGCAAGAUCAGCAACGCCGAUCAAGUUGGUUGGAAACCCGACCGACAUGGCUCUUAUUAUUUUUUUUUUGGUCUGUAUCCUCUUUUUCGGGCUGCGUUUUGGCAUGAAUCAUUGAAUUGUUGAGUUUUGGUGUGAAUUGCUUGGCAUGAAGUUUUGCAUUUGACUAGUACAUUGCAUAUAGUUCAUCACAUAUGCAAAUAGUUAAACUUGGUAAUCAGUAAUUGAUUACCAAGGUAUUGGGGUCAGUAACCCGAUUAUUGGGGGUCAGUAACUAGGUUAUUGGGUUCAGUAACCCGAUUAUUAAGGGUCAGUAACUGAUUAUUAGAGGUCAGUAACCAAAUUAUUGGGGUUAGUAACCCGAUUAUUGGGGGUCAGUAACCAAGUUAUUCGGGGUUAGUAACUGAUUAUUAGGGUCAGUAACCAAGUUAUUCAUGGUCAGGAACCGAGUCACCAGUGAUCGGAAUCCGGCAACAAGGAAAAUUUGGUGAUCGGUGACCGGAGUCCCGUGAGAUUCCGAUCAAGUAUUCUCUCUCUAUGCAUGUUUAAAGGGUGAUGACAAAAUAGUCUUAAAAUAAUAUGGUUUGUUAAGACUUUAGUAAAGAUUUGUGCAUUUAGACAUAAAAAAUGUUACUUUAUAUUGAAAUAGGCUCAUGAAAAAGAUUAUUAUUAGAAUUGUGAAUGAGAGGAUUAAAUUAGUUCUAAAUGGGCAUUUUCCCUUUAUUAAGUUAAGUAACGUUGCAUUUUACCUAACAUACCAAUGAUGUAACGUGUCAGAUUGUCUUAUAAAACUGAAAAAGUUAUCUAAAAUUAAUCAGAUACCAAGAUAAAGACCAUAUGGUUGCUCGACAAAAAUUUUGUAAGUUAAAUAUCAGAUGCAAGAAGACAAGGACAUUGAAUUUAAUGAACUAAUCUAUAUUUGUCUGUUUGACGACCUAAAUAAAUAGGAUGUCACUAACACAUUUACUAAAAUUUAAUUGAAGAUUGAAACCAAAAGCAUUCUAACUAACGAUUUAUCAAACAUGUCACGUUUAUUUUAUUCAUUUCAGAUCGUAUUAUUAAGUAUCUAUCGUUAAUCUAACAACGUAAUAUUCAUUCUUAAUAAGGUGUGUGCUUGCUAAAACUAGACAAUUGAAUUUUAAAAAUCUAGUUCACUAUCCUACUUAACCAGUGGAUUAUAGUAAAUCCAAAGCUGACUAUAUGGCUACAAUCCAAUGCUCCUCACUAAUGAGAUUGUACAAUUGGUGGGGGAGUGAAACAGAGAAGUACUUUUGUGAAGGUACAAUGGGCAUCCCAUCAAUCACUGUCUGAUUAGACUGUGGAUGGACCUGAUCAUCUCCAUUAUAUAUCAUCAUCAUCAUGAUCAUCAUGUGACAAAUCCAACACAUCAUGUUCUGGGUCCCAUCAUCUUCCUCUUAACUACUGUGCUUUGCUUUGUUUUGUUAACAAUGGAUGCUCUUCCUUUCUGUUUGAUAAGACUAGAGUCAGUGAGAGUGUGAGACUGUCCCUCACUUACUGCUUCAGAAGCUGAAUUGGUGUCAACGCCGUUGGAUUUUCAUCCAAAGAAAAAAAAAGUUGUUAGCUUGUCUCUGUCAAACACCUUCUCCUCUUUGUUUCUUCUUCCUUCCUCUCACUCUCAUGCCCAGAAUUUACAGAGCAAAGCUUAGGCCUUUACUCUGUAAAACUCACCUCUUGUGUGUAAAACUUGUAUGGGAGAAACAUCCUUUAUUGGGUUUGUUUAAAAACAAUUAUGCUUCUGGUUUUUUUCACCAAACACACUGUGAAAGGAGGAGUGGGGUCAAAGUUCCACUAGCCUUACUCAUUGUGUUUGAAGGAGGCUCUAGACCCACCACCAGAACAUACAUGAUGUCAAUCGCAUUGAGCAAGAGAGGCAGUUUUGUAAGGUAAUGAGCAAAUGCACAUGAGGCUUUCUGGUAUAAUAAACAACAGAUAUGAGAGACUUAAGAUUGGAGAAAAUAGGGAUCAGAGAGAGAGAGAGAGAGAGAUGGGGUUGUUUUGCUUCACCCAUAUUCUCUUGUUCAUAUUAUUGUUGUCUGCAACUUAUAAACACAUAUAAACAUCUCAUAAAGAAGAGAAUGCUCUCAAACACUAUUUCUUCCCCACUUACAUCUCCAUCAUUCUCUCCUAGAAGCUUUAAUUAUAUUAUCUAUAGAUACUCCCCUAUUGAUAAUUAAUCCUAAUAUAACUUAGGAUAAAAGGUAAGAUGAAAGAUGAAAAUUAAAACUAAAGGAAAAAAAACAUUUCCAUGUAUAAUAUGGCAUCAUCAGAUUUCUAGUCCUUGGAACCAUGAACUGAAGCACCACCAGAAACUCAGCAGCUAACCCAAUUCCCAGCAGAUCAAGAACCAAUUUCCUGUGGAUUGCUCUCGCUUCACAUCACAUUGCAGCUCGAAGUGUUCUCAUCGCUGAAGAAAUGAGUGUAAUGGUCACCGCCAUUUGGAGGAGGGUAUGGGUAAGGGUGUGGCGGCAUGUAGUUGACUGCUGGAGGAGGCCUAGCGUACAUCAUAGGCUGGAAAUUCCUGUCACCGCCCAUAGCUCUUUGCUGGUUCAGCAUUGCUGCCAUGUACUGUUGUUGCUGGUAUGGAUUACCAGCCAUGGCUUCAGGCCCGGCUCCUUGGAAGUAGCCGCUGGGGCCACCACCGCCUCCGCCAUUCAUGGCGGCAGCCGGCAGACCUUGAACCGCCGGCAUUUGACCCAUCUGACCCAUUUGGCUCAUUGGCAUGCUUCCCAUUGGACCCAUUGCCAUGUUCAUCUGGCUCAUCCCAGGCAUCUGCUGUCCCACAUUACCUCCAGGCAUGCCUUGAGGUCUCCCACCCAUGUUCUGGUGGCUCAUCAUAGCAUGUAGUUGAGCCUCACUCAUUCCACCACCACCACCACCUCCUCCAUUACCACCACCUCCACCACCCUUUUUAGCUCCAUUGCCAUUAUUACCCCCAUUAGCACCACCACCACCUUGGCCUCCCUGACCAUUCUUGUUCUGCGCCCCACCACCACCAUUUGGGGGGAACCCACCACUGUUCUUCCCUCCAUUCUUGCCAGCUUGAUUUUGACCAUGAUCUCCGCCACCGCCACCACCUUUCUUUCCACCGCCGCCACCACCCAAAUUCACCUGAGCCGGCGCACCCCCUCCUCCGCCACCUUUCUUUCCACCAUUCGGUUGACCACCACCAGCCUUCUGGGGAUUCAUCAUCUGAGGGUGGUUCAUCCCAUUCAUCAUCAUAGGAGGCAGCCCCUGACCACCACCACCACCCAUCGCCGACUUCAUCUUAUUGAGAGGCAUUCGAGGAUCAUCCAGCUCGUCAUCAAAAUCGUCGUCGUCAUAGUCGUCAUCAUCAUCAAGGUCAUCAUACUCAUCAUCAGUCAUGUCAUCAUCAUCCAAAUCCGCGAAUUUGACGGCCUUCUGGUUCUGGUUAGGUGGGUUCGGCCCUUUAAAACCAGGAGGCAUUUGCAUCCCUUUCAAUUGAGGCAACUUCAGAUCUUGAAAUCCUUUCAUUUGCUGAAGCUGUUGCAGCUGCUGUAGUUGCUGCAUUUGCUGCUGUUGGUGUUGCUGUUGCUGUUGCUGUGGGUUCGGGCCUUGUUGUCCACCUUUAGACUGGUUGUUGUUACCUCCUCCUCCUCCGCCUCCGCCGCCCUUCUGGUUGUUCUGGGCUUUGUUAUUCCCACCUUUGCCAUUAUCAAGUUGCAUGUUUUUGAACUGAUUGGCCAGGUUGCUCUGGUUCUGAUUAUUGUUGUUGGUUUUCGGAGCGCCCCAAACUUCUGCAUGUUUCCCUGAUUUUGCGAGCUUCUUGAUCAGAACAGAGGGGUCGACAUUGCCGGAAACGGUCACCUUCCCCUGUUCGGAAUCUAUCUCGGUUGUAAAAACCCCUGGACAAAAUAAGAAACACAAUUUAAUGACUGAUUUCCAUAGAGGAUAAAAAUCAAACAAAUAAAAAUUUUGGGGUAUAUCAGUAAAAUUUAAAAUGGGGGGAGCACAAUACCUUCAAUUUUCUGCAAGAUUUUCUUGACCUUGUGCUUGCAUCCAUCACAGUGAAUGUUAACUUUGAGAACACAUUUCUGCAUGCACAAGUAGUCCAAAAAACAAAAGUAGAGUAAACAAGAAAAGAGACAUAAAGAAAAAGAGCAAAGCUUGUUGUAGUGAUUUUGAGUUCAAAUGAAGCAAAGAACAAGCAGAGAAGAGAGUGAAAGAGUACCUGGAUCUUCAAGAACUCUUCUUUACUCAUGGCUACUAAAACUCAAAUGCAACAAACACAAGACUACAAUAAAAGAAAGGGCAGGUUGGUGAUAUAGAUCUAAGGGAAACAGGAGCUGCAGAAACAGAGGAAAAUGGGCGAGCUAGGAGGAAUUACAGAAAGGGGUAGUUGCUAGUGUCUCUGUUUCUUUCUUUUUGGGACUUAUCUAAGCAAAAACACAGAGGGAAAGAAAUAAGAAAUGGGUCUGCGUCUCUGAGCACAGAAGUUUUUAGACCCAAUAGCAAAGGUUCAGUCUUUGAAGACACAGAGAGAGAGAGAGAAGAGGGGCUCAGAAGCGGUGGGUGGACAUUAGAGCUUCUAUGGGUAUCUCUGCUUCCUCUAUUUCAGGGUAAGAGAGAGAAGAGGUAGAUGUGAGAAGUAGCAAAGCCUAAAAACAAUGUGAGAGAGAGAGAGAGAGAGAGAGAGAGAGAGAGAGAAAGAGUGUUGGUGCCUCCAAGGCUUUCUUCAUUCACUCCAUUUCUCUCUUGGGGAAGUUUAUUUAAUGGUAUUUUUACUAAUGUCCAGUAGCCAUGUGGAUCUGGCUUGGCUUGGUUACUGGCUUGUUAAUUUGAAUGGCUCUGCUGCUGUUUGGGUGAAAAUGGUGGAGGAGGAGAAAGAGUAUAAAUACGGCUCUCACUCAUCAGCUCACAGAUUUAAAGUUUUAAUCUUUUUUGAAAAAAAAAAUUAUCAGCAGAUGUGAAACAACUCUGUCAGAUUUCCUCUCCUCAAAUUGGGUGAUGCAAUAAAUAAUGGCAUUUAUUAUUUGGCCUUGUUUCAUGUAAAUACACAUACAAUAUUUAAUCUAUUUUCUGUACUACCUCUAUAUUUAGCUGUCUAGCUCAAAUUACUAUCUUGCUCUUCAGAUAAAAGGUAAACUUGACCUGCAUUUUUAAUCUUUCUAGUUUUAACCAUCCAAAACUCCAUAAGCACACCAUAAUAUUAAUAGGUAAUGAAAUUUUACAAUGAUCAAGGUUCUUUGAUACAAAAACAAAACCCUCACAAUGUGUGAUUGUUUGCAUAAACCUUUGUCUUAUGUUGUUUUAUUGUCAUUGAUCAUGUAUUAAUUCGUUAUUCUACUCAAAUUUACAUUUUCUCCAGGAUUAAAAUAUCGACGAUCACGGAAAUAUCGGUAGUUUGAAAAAAAUAAAUCUCGAUAGAUAUAUCGAGAUAAUAUCGAAUAUCGAUGAAAAUUUUACUAAAUUUUAUCUAAAAAUCGUAUAUUCGACCAAAAAUAUAAUAAAUAUAAAAUAUCAGAAAGAUAUAAAAAUUAAUGUCGGUACUUGUAAAAAAACGAAAAUUUCAAAAAUUUCGAAGAAAUAUCAAGGAUAUUUUAGAUAUUGUAGUCCUUGCAUUUUCCAGAUGCUUGAAACAUGUCAUUAUCUACUAGUUAUUCACUCAUAUGCAUUUCUCAAGACACAUAUCGUUAGCCAUAAAAGAUGUUCGAUUUUUCAAACAUUCUUUGCAAGCAAACGAAUAUCCGGCGUAAUCAAAACUUUUUAUUUGUUUCACUAUUUCAGCUUAUAAAGGAUAAUGUUUUGACAUUUUUGUUCAUGCAUACGUACAAUGACACGUAAAUACUAAAUACAAGUGAAUUCAAAAAAAUCUAUGUAUUAGUAAAACAUUUGCAGAUAAUAUUAUCAAGAGACAUGUAAAGGCAAAUAAUUUGAAAAAUAUGGUACCAACUAUACAUUCCAUGUAACAAAAGAAAAUUGCAAAAUCAGCGUGUCUUUUACCAGGUAUGUUGGCGAAUCACUAAAAAAAAUAACAGUCAUGUAUUAAUUCCAUGUAUCAAAAGAAAACUGUCACACCAAUACACUCGUUCAUUUCACUUACUUUUUACAUGUUGUUAGUUAGUCAGUGUUCUAACUCAUGUAUUUUUAUUAAGACACAAAUUUUAACGAAUAUAAGAAAACAUUAUAUUAGCAGUCAUACAUUCCAUGUAACGAAAACGAAAUGCUUUAAUGGAUUUGAUCCUUCUUCCAAUUAUUUAGUGCAGUUAUGUUUACCAUUGCUAAUUAUUCUUGCUUUUUAUGGUUGAGAUUUUUCAAGCUUUCUAAUUUUAUUUUCAUUAUUUAUUAUUUCCAACAUUUCUUCAGAAUGAAUUCUGGUUGCAUUGUGGACAUCAGUUUUUGAAUUAGAUUUUUCUUUGUAGUUUUUGUAGGCUCUUUCGAGUUGUAUCGAAACUAUGUUCCCGGUUGACCAGCCAUAUGGACUUGUAUUGGAGGUUAACUCCCGCUCAUUCCAUUGGUAGUUUUAAUAUAUGAGCGUUACGCCCCCUGGAGUAACAUCCAUUUCCAUCAAAAAAAAUUCUGGUUGCAUUGUCACAAUUCAACAAGAGAUAUACUCCCAUGUUUUUUGCCAACACUGUACCAUUUUUGGUGAAGUCAAUUCUAGACAAAUUUAACUCAUUCAUAAGAAAGAGCAAGCAAAGUUACGUUCUUCAAAAAAAUUUGCUUCCAUUGAUGAAAGAGAGAUAUCAAAGUUUUGCAACAAUCACUAGUUUUCCAACAACUCUCAACCUCACAUUGCGAGUUCCAAUAUACUACUUGAGCUCUCUCACUUGUUUCCUCGGAUCCUAUUUCCUCACUCCAAUCUUGCACACUAUUAAAGGCACUCACUCUGCUUUCAUGUACAAGCAAUUAGGACUGAGAAGAUGAAUACUUUGCUUGAGGCUAAAAAACUUCUCCAAGACAAACCUCAAUACUUUACUUGAGACUAAGAAACUUCCCAAUACAAACCCAAUAUUUAUGUUGGAAAACAGGAUUCCACCACAUUAGAUAGUAAAAUUCUACAUUUGGUCGUCUCUAUCUACCCUCCAAAUUUACUGUCAUUCAGUUAUUAGUUUGUAUAGUUACUUUUCUUGAUAAAAAAAAAAAGUUAUUAGUUUGUAGGUGAUGUCCCACAUGUACCACAUGUAGGAACUAAAAUUGUGCUCUAACAGUAACAGUAUAAUCAUAUUGUGCAUAAAAUUGAAAGAAGUUGAAUAAAAAAAAAAAAAACCAAUCAAGUUUUUGUUUUUGUUUUUGUUUUUUUUUGUGUGGAGGAGACGUCAAUGCAUUAAAUAGUAAAAGUUACAUAUAUAGAAAUACAUAAAACUGAGUGAGGGCGACAAUGUUUUCUUCCCUGGGGUGUUCUCCCCGUUUGGGGAGAUUUCGCUCCUCAUGCCUCAAAUUGGAAGAGAAUUCUCAAGGCCGACUUGGCUUCAACAAGUUCGAUGGCUUCACUGGAGUUUCUGGGAUCGCUGGCCAAACUCACAUUAGGUGCGACCUAGUCUGGAUCUUCGUAUGAGUGUGGAGGUGUUGCGGCGAAUUCAGAUCAAGAUAUAUACAAACAUGUCUUGCUGCCAUGAUUUAUGCGGUGAGAGAAGACGAAUUCAUCUGGCGUCCUAGCGAUCUCGGAGGCGGUAGUCUGGUUCGGAAGGACGGCGAUGAUAUGUCGAAGGCUUCUAGCUGUGUUGACGACAGCGGCUUCCGGCAUUUUGAUGGUCUUUGGAAACCUGGAGAGUCCUUUCUCCUCACACAUGACUGAAGGGCAGAAAGCCUUUUAAUGUUUUUCCGAGAUAGACUAGAGCUUUCCCCCCUUAGGCGCACCUAUCUGUACAAUUUUUUAUUAUUUAUUGAUAACCCCCCCCCCCCCCCCCCCAAAAAAAAAACGAGAGGGGAAGAACUAGCUAAAACUCACUAAGAAAAAUUACAUUGCAGAAGGGACGGUAAAAGAGUGCAUGGUCCAAAUGAAAAUUAUGUGGAGAAAUGCCCCUUAAUAGUAAGUUUACUUUUCAAUAAUUUUCACGAGAAAAAAAUUUCUAUUUCAAAAUAUAAAAAGAGAAAAAUUACGUUGGUUUUCAAAAUAUCUCAUUGUUUUUUUUUUCCCGAAAAACUGUAAGCUAUAGUCAGAAAGAAAACUUAUUUUCUCAGCUAAACGUAGCAAAUGGUUUGGCUUAAUGCCAAGGGCCAUUAUUACAAAAUCUAGGAAAUUCUGGAAAAAUAAAAAGUGGUAAACGCUUACUACCGAAAAAUAUCAGAUUUUUUCCUAUAAAAGCAGAUCCCCAUGGCAUGAAAACUCCUAUGUAUUAAUUGUCCUAAUUUGCUUUUCAGUAAUUAAAGAAAAAAGAGAGAAAUUGCUGUAGGUGAUGGGAAGGAAAUUGAGAUGGAAUUGAUAAAAGUCACUUUGGCUUUGAUGAUCAGAUCUUACUUUAACAGCAAAUUAGGUCCUUGAAUUCAGAUGAAUCAUGUUUUGGGGUAGAUUUUUCAUGAGUUUGGGCACUUGUUUCCUGGGCAUGCAAAUCAUUACCGUCCCUUCUCAAAAGCCUAAAUGCCAUUUAUAAUAAAACAAGCCCUUUUUGGCUUUUGUUACCUUUAAUCCCUUAAGAAGAGGUUAAAGUUAAGCUGUAACUUAAAAAGAGGUUUGAAUUAAUGGUGCCAAUGCUCCUGAAUUGGUUUUGGCCCUUUCUUUGCUCUCAAUGAAUUCAGAGAGAAGGUGUGUUUGGAAGCAGUUUAGGGAGAUUAAUGGCCACUGGGUUGGACAAAGGUUGAAGCAAAAACCAUGUUCUAUUGCAUGUUGAUUCCUAUUGCCAAAUGUGUUUUAGUUAGGAGGUAUAUAUGAACACCAACACGGCUACACUUGAUAGCAGAAAUGGUGGAGCUUUGCGUGUGUCUUUACAGCUAAAUUAGGGCUAUUUUUAUAUACUAGUGUCGGAGCUUUGCAGUAUUUCAAAAUUAUAUAUUAAUUAUGUUAAAGUUUUUUUUUUUUUUUUUUAUUUUUNNNNNNNNNNNNNNNNNNNNNNNNNNNNNNNNNNNNNNNNNNNNNNNNNNNNNNNNNNNNNNNNNNNNNNNNNNNNNNNNNNNNNNNNNNNNNNNNNNNNNNNNNNNNNNNNNNNNNNNNNNNNNNNNNNNNNNNNNNNNNNNNNNNNNNNNNNNNNNNNNNNNNNNNNNNNNNNNNNNNNNNNNNNNNNNNNNNNNNNNNNNNNNNNNNNNNNNNNNNNNNNNNNNNNNNNNNNNNNNNNNNNNNNNNNNNNNNNNNNNNNNNNNNNNNNNNNNNNNNNNNNNNNNNNNNNNNNNNNNNNNNNNNNNNNNNNNNNNNNNUUUUUUUUUUAGAAUCAUACGACCAAAUAUUGCUAGGUCAGGCUGGAGUUAACUCCGUUACAAUUUCUAUAGUAAAUUAUUUAUUUUCAUACAACUAAAGCUGAAAGGGAAAAACUAAAAUGUCGUCCAAAAAAGUAGAUGAUUACACAAAAAAAACAAUUAACAAAUUGAAUCAAAGUACCUAAAAAUGAACAUGCAGUCUAAAGACCCAAUUGUGCACCUGUCUGUCAAAGAGUAGGGUGUCACCCCUGAACAAUUUGUGUAGGGAUCUUUAUUCCUCCCCAAGAAAAACUACUCUCCACUUGCCUUAGGAGAGGCUUCCAACUCUGACGUUCCCGACCCAGAAGCCAUGGAAUGUGCUUAGACUCUUAGAGCGCUUACCUGCCUCAAAAAUAUCCUCCUCCCUAGGGCGUCGCACAAUGAGAACUCUGGCACUACACGAAUCUGCAUUGAGCGUUUUUCUCUAGGGAAUAGGGUAGAGAGUGACGACAUCAACGAUGCAAGAGAGAUCAAGGUUGUCAAGUGUGCUGGCCCGUAACACCAUGGCAAGCUGUGCUAGGGUUUGGGUCGCAGUUGGUGUUGUCGAUGCUGCCUCCUCUCUUUUCUCACGUGGACAUGGACGACCUCCAUGGUUGAUCAUCCGACACCCUCUGCAACGACCUAGAAGCUGUUCAUAAGUAUUUUCUCCAGAAAUGCAUGGUAUAUGUGGGAGAAACCUCAAUCCUAUGUUCUGGCCUCACAAGAUGGUUGAGAGGUAGGGAUAGCCACCCCCUGUUGAAACCUACUGUCCACUUGUAGGACUGAGCCGAUUGUUUUGACGAUCAAGCAGGCAGUGUGUCGCUGUCGUUAGAGCCUGAGCUAUGAACAAACACAAUUAAAGUCAAAUAAUACUAUAAUAAUAUAUUUGAUUUCCACGAAAUCGAGUUAAAGUCAAAUCAAUAACUAAUAUUGUAAAAUUAUACAACUAAUAACUUUAACCCAUUCUGUUGUAGUUGGUGUAUAAUAUUUUUAGAGAAUAUAACUUUAUAUAUUAAGCAACUUAGAUGAUUACGACUUAUAUAAGUAUGUUGAAUAGUUAACAUGGUUUAUCAACUACCUAAUCUUGAAAUGCAAGAAACAAAAACACGUUUUUAACUAAUGCAUACGCUUACGAUAGUUGGUGUAUGAACUUGAAAUAACCCAAACUAGGGGAUACUAUUUUGUAAUUAACCAACCCACGACAUUACAUAGGGUUCUAAACUUUUACUAAAGGAUGUCAACCAGGUAGCUAUAUUUGGGGGGACUUGGAAAUUACUAUCUCUUUUGUCCCAAAGAGUUUCAGAAGGGGGAAUGCCUUGAGCACCCAGAAAAUGCCAUUGCCGUUUAUUGCAGAGGUUGUCACAUGAAGCACACCACAUGGCCUGUAGAUAGUGAUUGAUGAGAGAAAUGAAAAGAAUCAGAGAUUUUGAGGUCAUUUAUUAGAUCUUACCAGCAAUCUAAAAUGCUUCCAUCCCACAUGGUUUCUGGCUUUCUGCAAAUGUUUCCUUGUUUUAACUCCCGACUUUUGUCUCUGUAUGCGAUCAUAAUGGAGGGUCUAGAUGUUGAGGUUUUGAAUUCUGACUAUGAAGGAUCCCCAACACCCUAUGCUUUUGUACAAUGUUGUUUCGGGGAUGAGGUAAAUGAAUUAGUGUAUCUAAAUACGGGCAUGAACGUGAUAAUACACAGCAUUGAAAUGUCACCAUGUCUUUGAAAUCGACUUUAAGUUACGGAAAUGUUUCUCAAUCAUAGAAAAUUGAAUGCUUCCGAAGUACGCUCACGUAGACGAGCAUCAAUCCAUCAACAUCACCCACAACCCUCCAUGAUUUCCAUGUCGAACUAGGUCUAACUCCAAACCCUUCAACAUCACCCACAACCCUCCAUGAUUUCCAUGUCGAACUAGGUCUAAUUCUAAACCCUAAAACCACAUCUACAUGUUUCAUUGUUCUUAGGGUGCAAGAAGACGACAGAACAACUAAACGAUCUACAGUUUAUAAAGAGGAAAGUGGUGAAAUGGGAUUUAAUAACCGACUUGGGUCUUGGGGAAUUCUCGUCGAGAGCUUGGUGUCCUAGCCUAAACGAGACUGUAACACUUGUGAUGCACAGCAGGACAAUCAUAGUGGUAGGUUACCAUCAAUCAGUACUAUUGUAACGUGGAGAUCAUUAUGAAGCUUGGCCUCACUUUCUUUCCCCAUGAAUUUUCACCAUGUAAAUAAACCAAAGAAGGCCUCCUAAUUGGCCACCAUGUUUAACCUUUUGCCUUCUAGUCAUAAGCCACCUCUCCUAAAGAUAACAAAGAAGCAGUACUAUACAAAUCUGAAGCGUUCAGAAACUUUUGACCAUGGUGAAUUCGCAAUGGGAGUUGGGGCCUGAAGAGUACUAAAGCUAACUGUAGACCUGUAGUCUCUCCCAGAACAAGAAUAGUCUAAAAGACACAACAAACAAUUGCAAGAAAAGUAAGAUCCAUUGUGAUACACUGUGUUGAGUGAGGAACAAUACAGAAAGGAUGUUCAAUAAGAUGCAAGAAACAUCCCCUUACGGCCUACUCAAGCUUUAUAGAUUCUUAGCAAACUUCACCGGAAAAUAUUCCCUCCCAGAUUUUCCUCUGCUGAAUUUCAGAGUGAAAAAGAUGCUUCCACAUGCUUUCAUUUCUAGAAGUCCCAAGAUCUAGAAUGUUCAUUAUACUCGGAUAUACAGAAAAGGGCAUGGAAAUGAAAGCUUUUGAUUCCAUACUAUAAACCUGAAAACCUUCAAAUUGGAUCCUGGUAAAUAGGGGCAAGCAAGGUCUGGUGGAGAGUUCUAUCUCUUUGAUAUAUGCAAUUUAAAGAAGAGAAUGUUAUUUCAAUGCUUUACAAUGGUUUGUAUCAAGGAAAUCAAAACACACUGCCAACAGCAAAAAUGAUGAAGAAAGCUUGUGGUUCACACACACUCCUAGUAUCUUAAGGUUAACAAAUUAAGUUCAUUCUUUAGAAGAUUGAUUAGAUUCAACUAUGUAAAUCACAUCAAAAUCAUAAAAGCAACAGAUCACUUAGAAUAUACAAAAGAAAAAGAUGCAUUUAUACAACAGCUGCCCAUCAAUAAAGAAAAAAAUAUUUGAUAUUCAUACCACAACAUCCACAUAAUGGAGAACACAAGUCCAUUGCUAGCUUUUAUUCAUCUUUAUCUCUAUAAGUUCUUCAAUGGGUUGACGGCAAAUGGGGCAUUUAUUGGAUUGAAUCCUCAAUUCUUUUGCACAGUCACUGCACAUACACUGGAAUAAAAAAUAAAAAAGAUAUGAAAGUUAGCAACUUAUGUCAUAAGAGUGAAAUCAAAACAGAGAGUAGUAAUUAUCUUAACUUGCUAUGCAAUACACGGUUCUAGUAUAACCAAGCAACUAAAUAUUUCAUUCAAAAUCCAAUUUCUGAAUCUGUUAAAAGGGAAAUUCAAAAGAAUUCUCACCAUAUGUCGACAAGGUAACACAGCAGUGUCCUUCGGUUCGGUCAUGCAUAUUACACACUCCUUCCCGGGGUCAUUGUCAUCAAAGCCCACUGCUGAGGUUGCAAUUCCAUAUAUCUCACGUAGCUCAUAGCGAACUUCAUCAAUCCAUAAUAUCUGCUUAAUAACUUUCACUUGGAAAGCGUCAUCAUUAUUCUUUUCUAGCACAGCUUGAGUAAUCUGCAUACGAGGAGAUGCAUCUAGGACAGGCUCACCAAUAUGAUCGACCGAAUCAGGUGGUGAACAUGUUUCAGCAGAUAUUACAAGUGGGAAUACAUCUUCUGCAGGUGAAGGUUUUGAAAGAUCAUCCAACUCGAAGAAGCCUAAAUCGAUGCCGGAACCUGAGGGCUGACGAAAUUUCUGGCCUACUCCUUUCUGAAAGGGGACUACCACUGGUGUAAAUGCUUCAGGAAAUAGUGGAACAAAUCUACAAUCUGUCUCUUCCUUGGCAAAGUAGAGAAUAGUAAUGCUGUCAACAAGACAUGACUCAGAUAAUUAGAGUAAGUAUAUAUUUACCCAAUAGAAAAUGAAGAUUGUAGAUCUAGUCAAAACAUAUAUUGAUAGUGCUCGGGAUUAAAAAGGCACCAACAGCCUCUGAAAACUUUUAGCAUAUGAAUCUGGCGUACAAAUCUUCCUCUAACUAGUCGACAAUCAUGACCAUGGCCAAGGCGAUCUAAAUAGAACCCACGUACUUUCUCUAUGCUCAAUAUAUGCAUGCUCAACAACCAGAAUAAUGGUUGCCAUACUUUUGUUUAACCCUAUUACAUAGUGUUCUACUUUUAGCCUGCAACUCUUAUGACUCAUAAGAAUGUUAUUACACAUAAAAUGUAUAUAGACACCUCUAGAAGUAACCUAGGCACCUACACAUGAAAUUUCUACAGACACCUAUAGAAGCAACCUAGGCACCUACCGACAUGACCUUCUAGAUCACACAAAAGGCAUCAGUCUAGAAGAACUUUAAACAUACACUGUUUGGUAAGAACCAAAUAAAUUAUGCAAAAUACUCUAAAUUGUCACACACAGCUUGCUGCUUCAAACUGCAGUUUUACCUUUCAACAGACCUCAAAUAUGAAAACAGAUUAAAUCUCUACUUUCAAUUGCAUGUAUAGACCAAAAACGCGGGCAAAGGAGGAGCAACAAUUAAGAUACUUGGUUCUACAAUUCCUGAAAAGAACAGUGGUCAAGAGUAAUUGAAAAAGAAAAACUGACUCUGACAACUCUUUCAUACAACACAUAAAAAUGAAAGCACAGGAGCAUAUAGAUGACAGACAAUUAGAAAAUUGCAUUACUUUAAAUGGUGUCCCUUUGCUUAAUAUAGACAUCAUAUCUUUCAGAAGUCAUAACAUAAAUACAGUAAUGCAACUUUUCAAAGAGCUUAUAGAAUUAUAAUUCUUAUAUCAGAAACUCCUCUAAAGGGCGAUAAAGUUUGCAUAUCUUAGCAUGACCAUUUCUCUAUAGAAUAAAAUUUAAGUUUAUUAAGGUGGUGUAACCACGACCUUGCAAGAAAGUUGAAAAACAGCAAGAACAGGCAGGAGCAGAUGGAAGAUCCUUGUUCACUGUUACCUCAAUAGUUUAAAACAAAUAACAGUGUUCUGGUAAAGACUAAUAAUACACCAAUUCAAACACUAGUGUGAGUAAAUUAGUAUAUCAUGUCCCCUCCAUUCUCUACUCCCUCUUAAGAGUAGCUUUACAACCAACAAAGGCAAGAAAAUGUAACCCUUGUCUAUGUUAGAGAACCUUCCACUGAAAAGGGAUGGCAGCACAUAUACACUCCUUGAAAUAGAUAAAAUUGUAGCGCUUCAAGUGAAGAGCUAAACUGUCUGUCAAUAAAUUUCCGGCCAAAGGAACAAAUGAAGUUAUGAACUACGUAAUCACUAUUUCUAAAGGGCACCUCUAACGGCCGUAGCUAAUUCUGGUCAUCUCUACUAAUGCCAUCCUCCAACAGAGGAAAAACAGUGAAAGGCAAAAUGCACGAGCUUGAUUUGUUACAAGGUCUACCAUCAGUAACAUCCAAAGACUCAAAGAUGAACAUCAAGCAACUAUGUACAUCCUACUUCGUAUCAUAAUACACUAGUGAACACUGUAACUGAAAAUCAUUUGUUAAAAAUCUAUCAAUUGUUUAUACCUCACUAUCUUCUGGUCAGGAUUCCUAAUUCUAAGCAUAGCUGCUCUCUAACCCAAAUUCGAGAAUUUAACUUUAAAACUGACAUGAUCAAAGCUUCUUCCCCACUCAGGUCCUAAAUGCUGAUACCAUUGACACUGAAAACCAACCAAUUUGUUGCCCACAAUAUUCAAAACACAAAUUCGACAACACUCAAUCUAUCAAAAGCAACAAACACAGACGCAUAAAACCAAACCAAACAAUCCACAAAAGAACCCGAAAAUGCUCACCUGCCAUCAUACAAGGCAUCGAAAACGAAAGAAACCAAAUGCUGAUCAGGGUUCUGCUCAUCAAUCUCCACCCUCAACGUGUCCUUAUGCACGUUGACAUCAUUCUUCACCUUCUUAGCAUUCUGGUGCUCCACGUACGGCGGCGGAGGCUGCACCGGAGCCACCGGCGGCCGCAUCGCCGGCCACCCACCAACCUGAACCUGAUUACCAUAGUAAGGCUGGUAAUUCUGGUUGUAACUAUACCUCCCCAUCAUCUGGUUGCAAGAAUUAUACUGUCCAUAGCAGUAAUGGGUCUGCGGCGGCGGCGGAGGCGGCGGAAGAGGGAGAGGGUAGGCCUGGUAAGCAGCAGCCCUGGGAGCGGCGUAGGGGAUUAUUGCGGAAUUGGGUUCUGGGUAGUUGACGGAAGAGGAAGACGAGGCGGAGGAGGAAGAGAAAGAAGGCUCCGGCGGCGGAGGCGGCGGAGAGAAAGAAGGAGGGUCGGAGUAGUAGUGAGGGUUGGAGAGGUAGUGGGGCUGAGGCGGAGGAGGAGGAGGAGGUGGUGGGUUUUGGUAAUAGGGGUUGUUGUUGUUGUUGUUUCGUCUCCGGUUGCUGCUGAAGGAAAUCCCCAUUUUUUGUGGGGGGUGAGAGAGAAUCGGAGACGAAGUCUACUGCUGUAAGGAAAAGAGACGAAGAAGAAAGACUGUAAAGCAAGAUCGCGUUAAUUGAAGCGUUUUUUGUUUUCGGCAGGAUUGAGUUAUUGGCGACGAUUAAACGCGCGCUUGCCACGCCAUUUUUGAGUUGAUUAUUUCCAACGUCAGGUAUUUAAUGUUGAAACGGAGAAGUCUAUGAAGAAUUUUAUAUAGAGGAAAAAUGUGUGCUUUGAAUCCUUUUGCGUGGUUGUUUAUGCUCAAGGGGUGAUGGUGAAAAAUAUAGUGCCAGUUUUUGGGGUCGGUGGGUUUGUAAUUUUGAUUGUAAAUUUUACACGAGUACAAGGUUUGUUCGGCGGUUUGCGUUAAUGGAGUUUGAUUGGUAUGAUGAUGGCAAGACGAUCUAAGUUAUAUAUGAGUGAAUAUUGAGCUUUAUAAUUAGGGUUAUGGUCAACCUUAGAGGUUGUAAGAUCGUUUUACAAUGUCUUUAAAUUUCGUAUUUACAGCAUUUGAGAAGAAGUUAUGGUUAAUUUAUUGUGCACGGAUCAGAAUUUUGAUGAGACUAUAUUUCAAGGCCCAAAUCACACCAUCAAAUUCAAAUACCAUUUUUUGUUAAAUUUUCAACUUAAUAUGGGAAAAUAGUACAAACUACUAUAGGGGCACGUUUGUUACCCCGGACAUAACGGGAUUGGACGACAGUGGGGAAGCUUGUGUUUGGCAACAACACCGGUUAAGUUAAAUGAGGUUAUGAAGUCCUGAAAGCAGCCUUCACACACUGCUAGAGCGGCCCCAAUUUUUUUUUGGGGGGGGGGGGGGUUUGGUGGAAGUCGGUCGUUGUUUUCUUCUCUCGCCUCAAAUUUAUAGGUUUCUUGGUUUAUGAUUUGUAAUUUCAGGUUGGAGGUUUUAUUUUGCUUGUUGUUUGUUUCUAUUUUUGAUUGCAGGUUUAAGGUGUUGCGGUGUUUUUUUUUUUUGAUAGGUGGUGUUGUGGUGUUUUUUUUUAUUGCUGCAACAAAACAUGGGUUAAGCUUACUCUAGAAUAAGGAGUGUUGGAUUGUGAUAGAAUUUAAGUCUGGGUUAGACAAUCCCGGGUAACAAAUGUGCCCUAGUUAUUUGUAGUGAUUCAUCAACUUCAAGAGCUAGUAUAAAUUAUGUAUCUGAAAAUGUAAAUUGUUUGGUAAAACGUUAUCAUCAAACGCAUUCUUACAUCGUAUAAGUUUCUUGUAAAUUAAAGUUUUAUGGUUUCUAGUCGUCGUGAGUAAAAGUUACAUGAGAAUUCAUAGUCUUCUAUGGCUUAGAACAAAGGCGACUAUGGAUAUUGAUUGAAAUCCAAAUUAAUAACAAUAACAUUGUUUGUGUUAGUUUUUCCUCAAAGUGAUUUGAGAGAAGUUGCUUGUUUUUUUACAUGUGAUCUCAAAAGUUCUCAGUGCAAGGCCAAGAAUCCUUGUUGUGCCAUUACAAAGUUAAUCACAUAUCUCUUCUUGUACAUUCAAUGAGACAUAUGGGGUGGACAACAAAAAUGUGGUCAGCAAAUUUGUUUCCGAUUUCUAACCACAACACCCGUCCACCCAACAUAUUACAACCCUAAAUUCACCCUUCUAACAAGUCCUUCAACUCUAGGUUGUCCUACAUCACUGACUCAAAUUUUUAACAUGAUGUACCAAAAAAGAAGACUAAGCAUAUUAAAAUGCUUGAAUCAAGUAAAGAAACCUUAUUUGACUAUUUCAUUAAGACUUCCCCUGAAACAAAAAUUUGAUUUGACAAAACAAACUCUCAUCAAGAAUCAACUCAAAGCCCAGCAACCUGUUCAACACGCAGCAUACCAGGUGCCCUUGAAUUCAACAAGAAAGAAAGUCAUUGGCAAUUUCUACACAGUAGAUAAGUAAUGCAUUUAUAAUCUAUGUUCACCAAGAUUCAAAAACUGAAAAACAUAUAUCAGAUACAUAACUUAUAUAACCCUUUCUCCAAGCCGAUCAUAAUUGUGAUGGCAACAUUGGCGAGUUGGGAACCAAGAUCACAACAUAUCAAUUACAGUAAAAGCUUCUGCAAAAAUUACAAGGGUCAUGUUGCAUUCCUUUUCUUCUUCAUGAUCAAAUAUCACAUAAAGAAAACCACAUCCAACUGCUAGCAGUAACUCCAUCCUCUCUAUCUUAUGUAACAUAAACACAUAUAACAUCUGAAUCCUUCAAAUACUAAUAUACCAUCAAAGAAACCCAAACAAAAAAAAGAAAAAGAUAAAAUUAACACACUAAUUACCAACCAACAAAUAACACACACACACACACACACACACUUCAUCAGCAAAAGUCUGGCCUGGGUUUUUUCCUGACAGAUAAGCAGCCUCGAUGAUGAUCCCUAAAGAUUCUGAUCUCACAACAAUCCCUCAAAUCCUCAAGGCUGAUAUAUUGCUGCUUAACCAUCCUCAUGCUAUCACCACCAGUCUCAUGAAUCCAAACAUAAGGGUGACAAGUCUCAUCAUAGUAAUACAGCAAGCUCUUCAUACCUGCCUUGCCAUUCUCUCCAGGCAUAUAAGCUUUGUAUAUGCUCUUGCAUUUCAGUCUCUUGGAAGAGCCUGGUUUCAAAGUGUGCACCUUCUUCAAUAUGGAACCAACUCUUAUCUGAAGCUCCACAGGCUUGUCAGUCAGGUUCCAAAUCCUUGUGCCAAACCCUGAGGACUGCUGAGUGUGGUCUCUGCACCCAUCAAAACAUCCCCCAAUUGGGAAAAUGCACAAUCUGGGCAUUUUUGUUUUCAGGGACUUCAAGUGUUUGAUGACCUUAGACUUGAAGAAAACAUGCAUUGUUUAUGUGCAGCAGAAGUUUCACUAAUUUCAUUUCACUGAUAUCAGCCCCCUCUAUAAAGUCAAAUCCUACUUUCUCAGCCACUAUUACUUAGCAUGCCAUGUAGAAUAUAGUAGCAAACCUGGAAUACUGUUAGCCCUUCCAUUAAGGAACUGGUAGGGUCUUAAAAGGGAGGGUCCAAGAUUCAACACAAGACAGUGAAAAAGAUAAUAUCAGAGGAAACAAUUACAUAUAAAUAUGAUAAAGACUGGCUUUUCCUUUGUUUUGGAGGAAGCAGAAAGAAGUAAAUGGUUUCCCCACUGCUUCCAAAGGACUAAUAAUGAGGUAUCAUGUUAGUAAUAUGAUGUUGCUUCCCAUUGUGUCUCAAGCACUUUGCUUUUCACUCACUCCCAUUCAAGUGUCCAACAAACACCUUUCCUUCAAAAUCUGCUCCCAUUUAUAUAAGCAUAUAAGAAACCUAGCAAUUUGAACCACAAGCAGAUUAGAGGACUUCUCAUAUGGAUUUUUGAGUUUGUGCUGGCAAAACAGAACACAAGGACUGUGGUGUUACAGUAGGAGUUUCAUUGUUCAAGCCAAAGAAGUCUAGUAUCAGUAUCAACCCUGCAUAUUAUUUUCUAUCACAGCUCACUUUGUAGACUCACAUGGAGUAAUGGACAUACAUAUCCAAUCAUAUACCUUGCUUCAACUCCAGGCCAAAUCCUGUUUUUUGUUUUCUCACGAAGUGCAUGAUCCAGAAAGGAAAUUUAUUUUAAAUUAAUGGUAGAAGCAACAAUUGUCUUUGGACAAUAUUUACAAGAGAACGAUAAAGUCCACACCAGAUCUUCUGAUAACAAGCUUGCAUUACUAAACUACAAACUAUGGUUGUAUAAUCUUCUGUAAACACUGGACUUGUUCUAGGAAGGUUAAAAUGAAAGAAUUCUUAGACUAGGGAACCCGGAUUCCCAACAGCAGGCAAGGGAGCAUUUCAUCAUGCAUUUGGCAUGCUGCUCGACUUUUAAUCUUGGCUUAGCAGUACAUUUCCUGUCAACAGAAUGGAUUAGGAGCGGCUCGAUUAAAUCCAGAUCCAUGUCAAUAAUAUAUGAGAUUUUCUAAUCCCUCUAGAUUGACGGGACUAUCCACACUUACUCCUAAUCCUAUUUGCUCUGUGAACUUUGAUGCUACUCAUGCCAGCCAUAUGCUGACUGCAGAUUUGGAUUUGUGGGGAAACAAAAAUGAAUUCUUGAAUAGAAUGCAGCAAAGAAGCCAAAAACUUACAACUCUGGCUACAAAUGAGGCAAGCAAAACAAACACAAAAUAGAACAACUCAUUUAUUGUCUGUUGCUACAGAAAACCAAGGUAAAGAACUCAAUUUGUGUGCUCAAAUGAUUUUUCUUUUACUAUUUUAUUUCAACUUAGAAAAACAAACUACACUUAAAUAACACAAUCUUAGUAGUCAAAUAAGUAGUGUUUGUCCAAAGUUACAAUCUAGAAAGAUGAGCCGAACUGUACAAGUUGUAGAUAAAAAUUACCACAUCCUGGAGUAUAAAUUAGGCAUAGCACUGUGAGAGAAGGUAGGUUAAAGAAUUUACACAACAUGGAUUUCAUUUUUCAUGAUGGUCUUCGGAGGGAUCUAUCUUGAUUAAAAGCGGCUCGUUGAGAUGACCAGGAGUAUCAGAAACAGGUAACUCUGGUGGCUCUAUGAUAUCAAGAUCCUCAUUUUCAGCCAAAGCUUUUUCCAAAGCAGCCUUGGCAACUCUUGUUACAAGAAACAUUAGAAUCACUGUGAACAAGCCAAAGAGAAAGUAAGACAACUGAAUACUGCAAAGUCCAAUAGAGGUACACACAUUUUGACACACCACUAAUGUGUAGUGAGUAAAAGUGAAUGUUCAUCAAAAGUUUUGGCUAUUUCCAUUAUUUCAGGGGAAUUGUCAUAACUUGCACAGCACAUGAACCCUGACCGAAUUUUAAUGUCUCCUAAGCUUAAUGUUGAUUAAUAUCACACUAUCGUUUCAAAGAUCACGUUUAUUUCCACGAACCAUCUUUGUUAUCUCAGAUAACUGAUGAGUUGUGCAUGAAAAGCUCAUGAACACAUGUUAAAUCGCAUCUCAAUCCACAAAAGUGAUCAAUAAUGAGUGUCGGACAUGCAAACUGUUGCUAAAAGACAAUACGCUUCAAACAAAAUGGUUUGCUCUCCUUUUCUCCUCUGCCUCCAACUACCACAGUUACCCACCUCCAUUUAAUACUCUCCAAAAAUAAAGAAAUGUGCUUUAUAUUGAUGAUGCAAAAGUAAUUUCAUGUAUGCCACUGUCAGUUUCUCAGAGAGACAUCACCCGCACAUCCACACUCCGUCAAUUUUCCAUGGUUUAAGUAAACAAAAGGAAUUACUAAAAAUGAAUACAGGUUCAGAGUCGACAAUGAUCAAUUUUACAUGUAAAGACAAAUCGCAAGUCAAUUUUCAGGAGUUCAUGCAUAAUUUCCCUUUCCCAUUUUCUUCCUGUUUCAAUUGGUGAACUAAAAAUUGACAUCUCUACAAAGUCCAAAAAUUAGAUUUUCCUGUCUAAGGCAUCACAUGCAAUAACCCUAUACAUAUGUUAUGCUCAUUUGUUUCUUUUGUUCUUCUGCUAGUGGCAUAGAUUCUGGAAAAAGGAGAUCAAGUCUUCAUAGACACAUAGACACAACCCAAAUACUUUUGUCUGGGCAUAGGAAGUUCCUCUCUCUCCUCCCAAAUCUCUACAAAGUCCAAAAAUUAGAUUUUCCUGCCCAAGGCAUCACAUGCAAUAACCCUAUACAUAUGUUAUGCUCAUUUGUUUCACUUGUUGUCUAUGUUAAUCUGAAAAAAUGAGAUCAAGUCUUCAUAGACACAACCCAAAUACUUUUGUCUGGGCAUCACCCCCCCCCCAACCCAUAGGAAAGAAGGCCAAAGAAAAUAUAAAGGUGCUGUAUGCAUGUCCAGAAAUUGCAACUUACCGGAUACAACAAGGCCCAGUAUGAUGACAGCCUGCAUACACAACAUUAAAGAGUGAACACAUCAGAAAAUGAGAAAUGAAGUAAUACUCGUCCAUACCCCAAACUGUAAGUAUAAGUGCUCUUACACAACAGACAAUGGAUGAAGAUAAAGGAUGAGUUUUCUCUUACCCAACGGGUCUUUGAAAAUUCACCCCAACCAUGGGUCACAUCAGAAAGAUCCUUGAGAGUCGUUCCAACAUAUACUAGUGCAAAUGUUAUCGGCUGUAAGAGAACCAAUUUUAAACACAUUAGCAUUGGUUUGAAACAAACACUGGUCAAUCAGUUUAUAUGUAUCAAAUUUUCAAUAACGUGGUGGUGGCAAUAGAACCCUCCCGUUAAUGCAAUCAGAAUCUAUGUACAAACGAUGUCAAAUCAGUGGUAUUUGACCAAACAAAAGAUCCAGGCACAGCACACCAGGAACAACAAACGGAUAGCAUGUAUCAGGAUGACUGCAAAUCCUUAUGAUAUGGAAAAAGCUUGCCAAUGACGCAGAUAAUGCUUUCUUAUAAAGACACUAAGAUAACCAUCUUAAUGAAGUUCUAAAUUAAACAUGGUGAUAAACUAUGCCAACAUGCACUCUGUAUUUUAUUUUAUUUUAUAUGUGUUCAUCACUAGCAAUCAUAUGGAGCACAAGUAACAUAGAAAGAUAAAAUAAGAGAUAAAAGAUUAUUGGGGGUAAGAAAAAAAUACCAUCAUUCCUAACCAUGAAGCAAGCAUGUAUUCUCCAAUUGGAACAGGAGUCACCGACAGGAGGUAAUUUAACAUGUUAAAUGGAAGUAAGGGAACAAGACGAAGCAGCAAAACAAUCUGUGGAACGAAGAAACAAGCAGAUUCCCAAAUGUCAAUAUAAAAAUACCACACCUUUAUUAAGUGACUAUUUAAACUGGGAAAGUAGGAGACAAUUAAUUGGGGUAAACUAAUACAAUAAUAUGCGCAUGGGAAAACCACCAACAUAAUGAAUAUUAAAUAUAUCAGACCACUUUAUGAAGGACAGAUAUGAAUCGUGCCAACCUUAAAUCCAGAUUUUCGGAUUGCAAUUGCAACUGCACGAAACUGAGGAUAAUCCUUCAACCUGGAAAUGACGAAUGAUCUCCCAAUCUGUAUAGGAACUCUAAAAUAAGAUACAUGUAGCAGCACAUAAAAGAAAAACUUAUAUUACAUAUAUGACCAAUAGGAGGCAAACAAAGCAAACAAUGACAACUCCAUAUGUAUGAGAAAGAACAAGAAUAAUAACAUAAUACACCAGUUGGGUAUAAUUACUCUAUUCCAGAUAAUGUACUCUUUCAAACACUUAGAAAUCAAUGAGGACCUUUACAAACUUACAGUUCUGCCAAGAAGGAAUGCAGCCCCUGCACCUACAGUGGCACCAAUUGAGUCGGCAACAAAGCCGAUGGGCAGGCCAAAAAGAUAACCACCACCGAGCUGAAACAAAUAAGAUGGGCAAUCACAUUAGGAUGCAAACUUGUGAAUAAAUCAAAGUUUUAUAUGGAACUUUCUCUAUUUUCUCGCUCUCCUCUACUUCUGUGUGCAAGUUUCUAUCCUAAUUACCAGAUUUGCUAGUAAUAAAAAGCACAAGGUAACAAAUAAAGGGAAAAAAAAGGCAAAACCUUUUGGAGUAUGGACUUGAUCUUACGAAAAAAUUAUGUAAAACACAAAUUUUAAGCUACACGGACAAGUAAGCAAUAGCCACUCUACAAUAAAUAGAGGUACAACAAUAAGUCAUCGGCCAUAUCCUUACAGUGAGUACUGAAGCUGGUACUGCCAAGACCGUUAAAGGAAUGUACGCAACAGCCCUGCAUGCAACCAAAAGAAACCUAAGUUAGAAAUCAAACAAAGUCCCUUCUUCCACCCCCAAAGUAAUCUUUGAGAACCAAUAUAACAUGUAGGCAAGUAACUGAUUCUAACAAUUCAAAGUGUUACAACUUCAGGGCUGCAAUUUACUUACAGCACAAGCGGACCCCAAGGGCCAAGAUCCCGUUCAACCCAUAAUAAGAAGUCCUUCAAAAUCUGCAGGAAGCAGUUACCUUAUCAGUUAACCGAUAUAACCAUACUCAAAAGUUCACGUUAUCAAAACCUCCAAACGCAGCUGAUACAAUCAACACAAUCAAGAAACUCAAGUCCUACAGUCCACCCGCAUUACCACAUUUCAUACUAAAACCCUUCAUCACCAUCAGACAACAAGGCCCCAUCCAGAUUAGAAAUGAAAACUACCCCUCAACACAAGUGGGAACUAUCGGUCUAAACACCAACCCACCCUAUUAGACAAACAAUAUAACCAUAGCUUCAAAUCAACUUCAGCAUUACAGUAGCUCAAAACUAUAACCCAAGCCCCAUCGAAGCCGGGUUCUUCAUCAUACUUUCUACAUUCCAAUACUGUUACAACGAACCCAAAACUCUCACAAAUGAUCAAAGCAGCUAAAUUCACCUACCCAAUCAACACUAAACCAAUAAAAAGAAAAUCAACCAAUGCAGAACCAAAAACCAAAUAUUGAUCGAAACCCAGAAAAAAGGAGAGACCUUUUCAACAGGGAGAGUGAAACAGGCGGUGGCAACGGCGGCGAGAAGGAGGAGGAGGAGAGUGAUCCUUAGCGCGGAGCCCCAAGAGAGAGCCAUAGAAAGCCUGCGACGCCAAGGCCUACACUCCUCGUCGUCGUCGUAUGUAUUGUUGGGUUGCUUCAACGGCAAACGAGGCCUCAGCCCUCCAAGGUUUGCCAGAUUUUGGGUAUGCGUCCCUCCAAAACUAGGUGACCUUCCUUCCCCCAAUCCAAAAACCUGUCUCUGUUUUGGAGUUUUGUGCUCUGUUUUGAGUUGUUUGAUUGAUUGGGGAUUUGGGAUUGGAGUUUGGAGGAUUAAGGAAAUUGAAAUCCCUAUCUGGAUUCGGUUAUUUGUGGAGGGAUUUAUGUCUGGUGGGGAUGAUUAUGCUUCUGAUGACUAUUUGGUGAGUUGUUUCCGGGUGUUAUUAUGGGCGGUGCAUUGCGUGUACUUCUCUUUUUUCAACUUUGGGUAACUUUCUUUUCUUACAUAUAUGGGAAACGGGUCGACUUUGUUAUUUUAUUUUUCUUUUACCAUUGCUUUGAGUCUACGAAACUGCAAGAAUUACUGUUAGGUCCGAGUGAGUUAAGAUCCAUCUCUUCCGUACAUCAGAUGAUAUAACGUUGAGUAUUAGUUAUCCAAGUUUGGCUUAUUUCAGUUAUGUCGAUUAUUUUAGAGAAAAUUAUGCUACGUCACAAAUUUAAAAACACAAAAAACUUAUUUUCAUUAAUUUUUAUAUAGUUUAAGACAUGAGCCUAAGCCCAAAACUAAGAGCAUCAAGUAUGAUCCAAAUUUUAGCUAUCAAAUGACCAUAAUACCCUUUAUCUCCAUCUUUCCUCUCACUCUCUUCCCCUCUCCGUCUUUUUUCUGCAGAUCUACUGUCAUAUAUAGAUAUGCCUGCUUCCGUGUUCUUGAUAUAUAUAUAUAGCCCUUUUUGGUUGCGGACGUCCGCACCGAAGGUUUCGAUGCGGAUUUCUAAUUUUGCACCACUUUCCGAUCGAAUUUCCUCAUCUCCACCGUCUAGUAUCUAGAUAAUAUUGUGUAGAUCAUCUCUGCAAAAUUUCAGCCAAUUUGGUGAUCGUUAAGGUCCUCAAACUCGAGUUUUUCUGGUAUGAACACAACCGGACAAAAUUCAGUCCGUCCAUUUGUUUUUCGAGUUUGAGGGCCUNNNNNNNNNNNNNNNNNNNNGUAUAUAUAUAUAUAUAUAUAUAUCUCUCUCUCUCUCUCUCCCCUUACCAUCAUCGCCGCCCCUCCUCCUCAGACUCCACUGCCUCGCCGCCGCCGCCGCACCAUGUGCGCCCCACGACCGUGCUCUUCGACGUCGACUGGGGCUGGGUCCCCGUUGACUACACCCUCCCCGUCACCGGCGACAAGAACUCCGAGGAUGACUUCGAUGCGCCGACGACGACGACAAAGGGCUACGGAGCUAGUGUAGCCGCUCGUGGAGGUCGGAAUCGAGUUCAAGAUCCACAUUGGGAAGGAUCGGGACAUGAAGGAGAGGUUGUGCUUGGAGGUGGAGCGGUUAGGGCUCAGUUCCGUCAUUAUAAGAAGCCGAGGGUUCAGCGCCGUCGUCGCCUUCAAGAGGAGCGUCGUCGCUGCCUUCAAGAGGAACCUCAGGCUACAGGGCAGUAGCAGUACAUUAACUUGGUCAAGUCUUUACUUUGCAUUUGAAGGUGAUGUGAUAUGGUCGUCAUAUUCAUCAUAUUCAUAGGCUAGAACCUUGUCAUGAUCCGGUCAAGUCUUUAGUUCGAAUUUGAAGGUGAUUUGAUCUUCAAUUUGUAUGAGAUGUUCAUGGAUUUGAUCUUCAGUUGGUAUGAGAUGCUUGGUGAUCUAAUUCCUCACUAUCUCUCAUUCAUCUCACUCAGUAGCAGUGAUAUAAAUGAGGUUGAUUGGUUUGGGUUGAUUAGUAGGUGAUUUCAUAUAUGAAUUGAGGUUUGUUUUGAGGACAUGAAUAAGAUUUGUUGAUCUGAAUGAGGUUUGUUUAUUGGGUUAAACCAUUGUUGUGAUAGAUGCAGUUUUAAAGUUCAUUAGCAGUGAUACAUACAAUAGCAACAACGCUAUCAUCAAAGUGGACAGUAGCAGCGCGCUCUGCUGAGUAGCAGAAGUAAGCAGUAGCAGAGUGGGAUGAGUAGCAAACGUAGGCAGUAGCAGACAGUUUGCUAGUAGAAGUCGGCAUUAGCAGUUAGAUUUGCGGUAGCAAUAGCCAUUUCGUCGUCAGUAGCAGAAAAUUUCUAAUAGCGACAGUAGCAGCUUUAUGAAGGUCUCAUAUCGCGACAGUAGCAGCCUUAUUGAUUCCGGAGAAUUGCCUGAAAAAAAUUGCAAUAACACCUUUUUAUCAGGUGCUACUGUGCUCAGGUGCUACUGUGCUACUUGGCAGUAGCAUAUGUGCUACUGUUGGGUGCUACUACACCCAAUGUACUACUGUGCUACUUUGCAGUGUGCUACUGUGCUACUCGUUUGACAGUAGCAGUUGAUAUGUAGUGAAAUGUAUUAUGGUAAAAUUAUAAUGACAUAUGACAUAUGGGUAUUAGUUUGUCUAAAUUUGUUAAUAUUUGUCCUUAAAUGUGUGAGAUAUUAUGUAAAAGAUUUAUUUAUAAACUAAAAUUUGGUUAAUAACUUUAUAGUAAUUUACUAAUUAUUUUAAGAUGUUUGAUUUUGUUACAUUUUUUNUUUUCUNNNNNNNNNNNNNNNNNNNNACCCGUCCAUCUCCACCGUCCAUUUGACGCGGACUUUUGACUUUUUCAAAAUGGACGGCGGAGAUGGACGCGCACCCGGGUGCGCUGUAUAAUUUUCAAAUGAAACACGUGUGUUAUGUUUUCGGAAACAGUUAUUAGAGUUUUACUCUAGUUAUUGCCGUAAUGUUUUUGCUGCAAAGUGGCAGUCGGUGUUGGGGGUUUUCUUAAGAUUUCAAGCCGGAAUUUAUGAAGCGGAUCGAAGUGAGUGCAAACAUGACUUUCACAAUACCUCUUAAUUGAGUCAAUGACCCGCACAUUGACUUUUGUUGUUCUCAUAUUAGCCCUUAGCUUUGGUUAAGUAAACGCGAGCAUAAACAAGUUUAUACCAAAGUGUCCUUAAGAUCCGCCCAGGAGCGAGGAGUGAUCUGUACACCAUCUAGAUACGACUGAUACGAACAUAUCUCAAAGUUAGAGCAAUGACCUCUGUUCUUGAUCCUGUGAAGCUAUCUCAAAGGCUUCUAAAGUGUGGGUCAUCUCCAACAACACUCAACCUCCUACUGCACCUUAAUUACCCAUUAUAUAUCGUGAUGUACUUUUCUGAUUCACAGGGGUUUACCACGACAUAUUGCCAGAAAUGUUGGCCAAAAUGCCUUCCUUGAAAAACAUCUAGUGUCAAACAACAAAGGGCAAACAGUAAGAAAUUGCUUGGGAUGCUUCAUCGUUGGUGUUAGUAUGCUUACUGCAUCAAACUUGGUUUGUAGGAAACUACCAUUUCUUUUUCUUUGAUUGAAGUACUAGGUACAGGGAAAAUAUGGAGAAGUUUUUGUGUUACCUUGAGAUUUGAAGGAAUCAACAAUCAAGGUAAUAACUUUUCCAGACCAGAAAAAAGGAUGCAACUCUUUUCUUUUUGGAAAGGAAUCAGGUGAAAUGAUAAUGAUUAAAAGUCGAACACAAUGAUUAUUGUAUAGAAAGUUUCCAUUCAUGAACAGAUGAACUCGGUUCUAGUUAGUGAUUAUCAAUCUAAUUACACAGUCGAUUUCAUACCUUUGCAUGGUUUCAUUCACCUUUGCAAAUCAGACACUAAGUUGGUGCCAAACCUAAAGGAUUGCUAUGUCUAGUCAUGGCAAUUGCACAUGUGAUUUCCUUUCUUUGUCGACCUUUUCUUUCUUUCACGUAUCUUUGUGAAAACGAGCGAUUGGCAUUCGUUCGUAUAUCAAAUUAACAAUGUAGGCAAACAACUACUCAAACUGUCAAACAUAUAGGAAAACAACUUGAUCAGCAAUUCAGCAUUAAAAUCGACCAACAUCAUCGAAACUUUUAAGGCAAGGAAGCUUCUGUCUAACAAUUUAGCACUUAAUACCCAACAGCUAUACUGGUUUUCCCUUCAACUUUGUGGUUAAGGCUUUUGAUUUGCCCACAAGUUGGAGGGGUUAGAAAGUAUUUUGGUGGUGGUGGCUGUUGCCUGUUGGUGUUUGCUCUUAAACCCAAAAGCUGCGUAAAAGAUAUACAAUGCAGAAUGGUUAUGCUUAAAUAUGAUAUGCCAUGUUGCAGCAUAUGAAGCAACAAGAGGAAGGGCUAUCUGCUGAAGAAGUAUGUAAAAGAAAUACAAUACCUUGAGAUGAUGAUAGCUCAUACAAAAUUUCAUUAUUUUCUUGAAAUUCUAGAACCUCUCCUGAUGUACAACCUGUGGGAAUGACUUCAGUCUAACCAUAUCUAGCUAUAUAUAAACAAAUAAAGAAUAUGCCAAACUCAAUCUAAUGAACAAUAUAAAUGAAAACCAUGAGUGGUCCACCUUGUACACGUCAAAGGCCUUCAAGCCCCUUCAUUCUGGCAUUCAAGGAUGAGCCUGCAUUUCAAAUUCUCUUGAUAGCUCUGGGACGCCAUCGUUGAAAAGUUUCAGAGAAAAUUUGAAACGCUUCACAUGUUUGCAGCAGCUUCCUAUCUGGUUGCACAUAGUACAUUCAGCAGUAUAUGAUCCAGCAUAAGGUCCACAAAAUAAUGGUGUCCAAUGAGGCCAUCCCUCCACUUUGCCUUUGCAGGAGCUCGGCCGUAGUGUACUCCAUCGUUGCAACGAUUAUCAAAAUGCCACGGGAAGGUCAUGUCAAAAUUGUCAAUCACACCAGAAAGGAUACCAGCUUGCUUCAAUUUCUCAAUGAGUAUCCAAUUGAAUGCCUCCAUCUUAUUAGGAUUGAACGCCAUAGUUCGCGCAUACCCACCAGUGGCUAUUGUGGUGCGGUAGAAGACUUUUGGCACCACCAAACCUCUCUGCCGUAUUAACUCCAUGAUUUCCACCCAAAAUGUUGUUGCAUAGCUUGCCCCAGCAGAAAAAGCUCUUAUGUUGGACCAAUAUAUGCCAUCGUGUAAGCCUGAGUUCAUGAUUAUAGUAUCUGGAACUUUAUCUUCCGAGAAGUACUUCUUGAUCAAAUUCCUGAAUCCUUCAUCUUUCAAGGAAUUCAAACCCUGGUAAUUCUGUGUUUCAUUCCAAUGACCAUUGAAUAGGCUUGUAAUUCGAACCUUCUGUGAAGGGUCUCUCGGGUUUGUAAAGUGCAUAUCAAACCGUCUCGGAACUGACUGUACUUCGGGCAUAUCCAAGAUAAAGGUGAGAAUGUUUCGUAUCGAAUCAACAUGAUUGGAAUCACCCCAGAAGAAAAGCCAUCUGUUAUUCAAGCACUUCCAAGCAGAAUCAGCUGAAAACAAUCUGAAAGAACAAUGUGUGGAGUAAACCCAACCAUUACUCUCCAAAGCCCCCAAUGAACCACUACACCAAGGACUCUGGCAAGGAAAACUUGGGGAGAGGCAUCUGUAUCGACCAUCAUGACUAAUCUCACACUCAUCAUUCUUACCAUGCCUAGUCCACCUUCCUGACCAAACAUCUCUUCCAAAAUCUGACUCUUUGCAAACUUGUAGCUCUGGCAAUUGAGCCGAGCCCUUGUAAAACCUGAUCGGAAUUCUCCGAAUCUCCCUAUCGUAUGCGAACCGGCUAGGUGAGAACUUAAGACCCUCAAAAUGCCUAAACAGUAGGAUUAUAGUAAGAUUAUAAGAUCCCACAAAAUCUGGAUGAACUUGAAGCGAAACAGAAUAAGACCCAUUACCAAAAUCUUUCACAACAGGCCUAGAUUUCCAUGACUCCCCUGAAAGAUCAGUCUCAAAAUAAUCCCCACCCAAACACCUAGGCUGCUUACUCUCAUCCAAAGCCUGAAACCCAAACUCAUAGAUUUCACCAGCAGACAACUCAAUCAGAUCCUUACCAUCCAAACCAGGAAUAGCAAUUUCAACAGUCUUAGCAUCUCUACAAGGCUCUCCUCCUGGAGCUAACCAUUUAGCUAGGAGAUUCUUUGUCACAUUAGGCUCUAUUUUAGCAGUAACCCAGUCCAAACUAGCAGGAACCACAGAAACCCCACUUGAAUAAUUCUGAUCGGAAGGUGACACAUUCUGGGUAUGAUUCACUGGGUCCUGAGAACCCAUCUGGGUUUUCAACUGGGUCAAGUUGGGUUCUUUCUGGGUCUGAUUAACUACAAUGUGGGCAGUGCUAACUUCCUUAUCCUCAUGGUUCUGAGCUAUAUUAUUAGCAAAAGCGCUAACCUUUGUAGUCAAAUAGCCCUGCUGAGACUUGGUGGCUUCCACCAAGUUCCUCAUAGUUGUUGCAUCCGUGCUCCAAAUCAACACCAUUCCCACAAGAACAAGAGCUGUGACUAACCCAAGUCGCCAUUGAAGCAGAGGAGGACUUGGUUUCGACGAUGUAGGCCAGCUCAUAGCUCCCUUCUCUGGCAUCUCAGACGGUACUAAGUAAAAACUACAGCAAAACAAUAAGAGCAAACAAUGAAUAAACAAAACCCAGAUUGCUAAUUACUUUGACGACAAGAAUGUGUUUUUAUCGAUUUUGAUGAUGCCUUUGUAUAUAAUAAUAGCAGCUAUAAAGAAAAAGAUUAAAGCUUUACUUACUGGGUUGGUGUGUUUUUGAUGAGUAGCAGUACUAGGGUUCUGGGAUGGACAAUGCAGCCAAGCUUUUUGAUUGUUCAGUUUUGUAUAUGGAAUCCCAAACCUAAAAACAGAGGCUUUGGAGAAAAGUGAAAGAGAAAGGCUUGCUCUUUCUUUGUUUCUAACAACGGCAGUUUAGUGUAGGAGGAGAGAGAGGUUGUGUUAUUAUUACAAGGGAAAGCUGGUGAUGCCUUGAAGUAGGGAGAGGGGCAGACAAUUUUAAUGUGGGUAGACAGAUUUGCCCUUUGGUGUGGUGAUAGAGAUUGGCGGUGAGGUUGAUGAGGAUCUGCACCGACUAGGGGACCAAUGGCCAAUGGAGAGGAGCGUCGGUGUGUGCUAGAUAGGGGUAUUUAGGUCAAUUGGAGGAGGGUGGGGAAGUGAUAUAUGGGGGAUGGGAUUAUUGGUGGCGUUCACUGGUUUUGGGGUUAUGGUCAUAUGGUGCCACACUGCCACCUUGAAUUCACAUGGUGAUGUUUUAAAAUUGAAAGAAUUGGUAGUGUGGAGGUGGGAGGGACACGAAGGAGGCCAACACCUAGAGACCGACCCACAUUGGGCAUGAGAAAAGCUUCGGUGGAAAUACACUCAUUAACUCUCACAUGAAAGAAUCACAAAAUAGUGAUCUCAAAAUGUUUGUGUUAAAUUCGAAUUUUGAAAGUCGAUGAUCGUCGUAUUAACUUAUUUUGUUAGUAAAUUUUAACCGUCGAUAAUGAAGAUGUAGAACAAUAGAAGUAUGUUUGAAAGCCAAUGCGUUUGUCGGAUCCACAUGUCUAUAACAUACCAAUAUAUACUAGUUAAUAUGCGUUACUGAAAGAUUCGAUCAAAUGAUAAUAGUUAAAGAUACAUUGAGAAAUCAAAUCUUAAAAAACAACAUAUGAUGAAAGUAAUGAAUGGUUUGGAUUGGAAUAGAGAUCUAUCAAUGACAAACUCUUACAUUCAUAUUAAAGACGUCAAAUAACAAAAACUGAAAAUAACUGAAAAUACGAAUUGAAAUAACAAAAACAAAAUCCAAGACAAUAAAUUGAAUUAGAUAUAACGGCAAAACCAUCACAUGAUAACAACAACUAAGUAGCUGCUCACCUCUUGAUAUGUAAUAGUAAUCCAACUCUUCCUUGGUAUGAGAAUCACACUAUUAGAUCAUCAGAAAAAGAAAGAAAAAAUAGUCGGAAAAAGAAAAUAAGAUAGUCAGAAGUACUUGAAGUACGAUGGAGUCUGAACAACCAUUUUAUAGAAGAAAAAAAAAAGACAUAAAAGAUAGAGAGCAAUAUGUUUUCCAAUCCAGGUCAAAGAGAUAAUAUAUAUGGAACACAUACAACUUUCUUUAUGAAUUGGAAGUUCAUACUCUCCUUCUCCAGUGGUGGAAUUGAAUUUCAUUCAAUUAUUUUGUUUUUCAUUAUUCAAGGAUUUGUUUUCUUACCAAAAAUUAAAAUCUAAGUCAUAAAUUUACCUGAUAAAAAAAAAAAGUCAUAAAUUUGCCGUGGUUUUCCUUAUCUACAAGCUGUAUGGAUUAUGGAUACUCUCCAUGCAUGCUCCUCAUAUGGUGACAUUCUAUACAUUUUCUAUAAUAAACUUCUCUAAACCUUUCUUUGAGUAUAUAUGUGAAAAUUUAAUCGAUCAAUAGAAUACACUUCCUAAUUUACGAGUAGGUAACUUGGUAAUUGGCCUUCCAUAGAUUGUAGGCUAGAGUUUAGUUGUAAUUUGUUAGAGUUGGUAAGCUGUCAAAUUACAUGAUCAUGAGGACAAGAUUAGGAGAGAAAGAAGUUUCGUGAGGCAUUCGAUCAUUACGUUAAGAAACAUGCAGUUUAUGAUUGAACUAAUAAAGCACAUUUUGUCAACCUAAUUUAUCUUGGUACAUACCACAUUACCACAUGAUCAUGAAGGACCAGCAAUAAUCACAUAAUCUAAGUUUUGUGUAGGCAAACCCUAGCCUAUACUUCAUUCCAACUCAAAGUGCCUUUGAGAAACUAAUCAAGCAACUAAUCAAGGACUAUUUGACAUGAUCCAUCUACCUCUAUCAUGUGCAUGCAGAUAUGGCCUCUCGUCUCAGGUAGUUCAGACCUUUGUGCUGAGUUUGAUACAUAGUUUCAAUCGCAAAUGAGAUACUCCUCUCCUUGUUAAUCGAAUCCAAUGAAAAAUAUGUGAUGAUCUCUGGGUGUAUUAAAAAACCACACACAUUUGGAAGGCAUGUCACAUAUCACAAUAUUCUACCUACUAGGAUGUGAAAAUUAAAAGGCCAAUGCGAACUAAUUUACUUACUCAACACCUGGGGUUUUUUUUUCGCUAAUCAAACGAGACAAUGUUCUGUUUGAUUUGAAUCUGAUUGUUUGCGAGUAAAAGACAUUUGGAUCAAUUUUAACUCAAAAGACUAACACGCAGACUUGAUCGUUGCUUUUUAUCUGGUACUCCUAGUUAUAGAUUUUCUAAUCUACCUAAAUUGCCUUCCUCUUAUUUUGACUGAUUUUAAUAUUGAAAUAUUGUUCGGUAACCAAGUGCCAUCGCUUGUUUUUCAAAAGAAGAAGAAAAAGAAAAGGGAUAAUGAGUGGGAGUAGUAAUGGAUGUUGAAGAGACAGUCAAAGGGUAAAGUGGUGUUGAACUGUUGAAGUGUUUGAAGCUCUAACUGGCUUUUGGCCAAGAAAUACGAGCAUUAUCUGGGAGUGAAAAUGAGAAUUCCCAUGAUCUCUUCUCUAUGCCAGAAAGUUGUUCGUCAAUCUUGAAUUUUUGACAUUCUUCAAAGAAAAAUUGCGCCAAAACAAAUGGUGGGUACCAACUACCAACUACCAACCCCCACCAUCCAUUAACCAACGGUUCCAUUCCAUCUUUUCUUUCCCUCCUCAUAGUUGUUACUUCAACAAACGACACCAGGGAGUUCUCAUUCUUUCAGAUACGCCUGAACCUUCAAAAUCCAAAAGAUAAAAGACAAGCUAUGGCUAACAGCUAUGUUUCUUGUUUUCAAAAGGUACAGCCAAACUCAAAUCUUGGACAAAUCCCAAAACAUCUGAGGACACUAAGGAAUGUUUUUGUGUUCGAUGUUACUCAGGAAUAUGUAGAUGUAAACGAGGCUAUUGUAAUUGACAGUAAACCCUACAACUGCAACACUCGAAAACGUUAAGCGAUGAACAAAAGAUGAUAAUAUGAUCACAUUUUCUUAUAGGAAUAAUUGAUUAAGCUAUUCACAUAAGUUCCAUUCGAAACUGCUAUAGUCGGACAAAACAAGGAUGUGCUCUCUUUUCAACAAUGUGAGCAAUAUAUGAUUACAAUUCACUUGACCUCUGGUAUAAAAAAGUAAAGGCUAAGAAACCAAAGAGGAAAUAAAUAAGAAAGGAAUGAAAAUAAAUAAUUUGGAAUUGAAAUUCGAUCAUAAAUCACCACACUAAUUCCAAGGAUCAUCCCACCCUUUAGGCCCGUCUCUCUUAACAAAAUCAAUUAUAGCUGCAACAACUUCUUGAACUCUGUUAGAAAGGGAGUGAUUUCCAUGUUCAAUUUCAACUUUCUCUGCCCCACUCAUUGCUUUGCACAAUCUGCAUGAGUUAACCAACAUCACCCAUCAUGCCCAUUUUAAAGACCUUAAUAACCAACAUAACACAUCUUUUUUCUUUUUUCAAUCAUAAUCUGAACUACUCUCAAAUGGUUCUUAAACAACAUGAGAGAUAAAUACCUUUGAACUAAUGCCUUCUUGUCAACAUAGUCUGGCACAUACUCAUCAGCCAUGGAAUAUAUAACCUGCAAAGAUUUUUGACUUGACUUAAGUUUUACAAUUGAUGAUGUUAGGAUGCUCAGAAAGAGAAAGAAGCAUCAUUCUCAUUUAUAAGUUAACCAAAAUGCAUGCUUGUCACCGGAGGAUGACUAUCUAUCUUAGUCAGUUUUACUUAGCAUUAUCCUUUAUCCAUAUUUUCCUGUUAGAUUUUCUAUUAUUAUAAACUUGUCUAACAAAUAAUAUGGCACUGUCUUUUUAUAAAUUUCAAAAAACCAAAUGCCCCUUUUUUCAAAGUCCUGAACUUCAGGGAUGUAGCAGAUAAACAGUUACGCAUGUGCUACUUAAAGUUUGGCAACUCUACUUGGCAAGGUGUGUUAGACAUGUGUCCAAGUCUCAAUCUCAGCUGGUCAUCAGUAAGGUCGGAACUAAACAUGUCAUCAUCCCCGUUGUAUGCACAAAGUGAGUGAUACCUGCAGGAAAGUUCACUCUUUAGACAAAGGAUAACAAUAUGGUAUUUCAUGGCCAAAUUCAAUGAUAUGUUGCAGAUUGUGAGUGUAUGUUUCCAUAUCGAUGUUUACAGUGCCUUUAUAUUAUGCAUGCAACUCAAAAUCUGUAAAUGUGAUACGCAUUUCUUUCCAAUACAUGUUAUCCACAACUGGCAAUGAUUUCUUCCAUUUUUGUUGUAUUAACGAUCAUAUCAUUGUGUACGCACCGAUAGGCAGUUAUGGGAGCUAGAUCUGCUUCACUUGGCAUUAAUUCAGAUCCACGGCCUUCAUUUAUCAUGGUUGAAGCCAAAUCAAUCAUAGCAGCUGUUUCAGGAAGUGUUGCUCUGUAUUCUCGAUCGCUGACUGGAGCCUGAACAUUUUGAUUGGUGUUAUGCCAAAAGUUCAAGUAGAGGUUCAAUUGGUGGACAAUAAGGAAGAUGUGCGACACGCAAGAAUAAGAACAUUGGGAUCAAUCACCAAAUAUCAAGUAUCAGUAACAAAAACAAACUUCGAGUGUGCUACCUGUAGAAUGGCAGCACGAACAGCUCUAGAGCAUGCGGCAUUUGUACGUAUAUAAUGUACAAUGUCCUGGAGUCAUAACCAAAAGCAAGAAACUCAAAUAAUGUCCUAGAGUAAUUAACUUAAAAGCUCAUAUCUAAGGUGCAAUCGACACAAACCUGGCAGCCAGUACUAUGGCCAAUCAGUACAACACCCUCAGAAUCUUCUUUGUUUAUAAAAUAACUAAUCAGUUGAUCAAGUUCCAUCGCGUCCUUUUAUACAUAAGAAAAUGAUAUCUUGUUAGUAAAAGCAGAUAUGUUUUGUGAUUUGACCCCCAAAAACCCCAAAAAGAAGGAAACAUUAUAAAGAUUGAAAAUAAGUAAGAGGCGUGAGAGGUCAAUAUUUCCAAGCCCAGAGAAGCCAAACACAAAACAGAAAGCUUAAAAUAGGUAUGAUCUUGAACUAAUGGAAAACAUGAAAUAAGCCAUGACCUUCAAUACACACGCAGAAACGGACACACACACACACAU
rnacentral:lncRNA from 1 species